AAGACUGAUGUGGAACAUAGCUCUCCCAUCACACCGACCUCGUCGGAAAAAUUGAGAAAUAUGGGUUGGAAGCCAAGGAAAUUGGAGGAGACGCUCCUGGAUAGCGUCGAAUACUACCAGAAGACGGGGCUUCUGCAGGAUGCCGAGGGAGAGGGAUACCCAUGCCACCUUCCUGAAAUGUUCAGCUUUUUUCAUGCCGACGAGUAAUAAAAUCGAGUGUGGUAGUGGUGGGUGCCGGUGCUCGUACAUAUGCCAUUGUGCUUGUGAAAAUGUCGAAUGGUACGUAUCUCCGGUGACCAUCCCAGGAGACAGGAGUGGAAGUGGUUAGACGAUGGUGCCCUCAAUGUAAAAUAUUCGAUUUCGUAAAUGUUUAUAUGUUUUAAGUGAGCUUGGUCAAAUAUUAAACAAGUUUGACCUUGGAAAUAAUUAAGUUGGAAAGGAGGGGGUAUGUAUGUGCAUUGUUAUGUCUACUCCCCGCAAACUCCGAACAUUAUUAUUACUAGCAAAAGGGUCCGUGCGUUGCAACAGGAUAAAAAAAAUACCACAUGCUUUUAAUUGUUUUAUUAAAAUAAUAAGCUAACUAACUAUUGUAGUCAGUCCUAUCCUAUUUUGUUGAAAAAUUAACCCGUCCAUUGUUAAUUUCACCAUGAUGAGAAAUUGAGCGGGACAAGCAAAGCAAAACAAGGAAGCUACGUGAAUUGAUCAAGGGACUGUUAUCUUAUUUCACUCAUGGGGUAGAGAAUGUGGGAUGAGAUGACAAACUGAAGGUGGUGUUCCAUUCUCUCUCUCUACAACAAUGCAAUCUUACAUGCAAUACAUUCAUUCAUCAGCAAACAAAUUCUCACAAAACAAAAUUUCUUGCCGGUGCUUGGCACACGGUUCGAGGCAUGGGGAGGGGAUCUCACCAGAUGAUGAGUUCCUGCCGGAGGAGGGGAUACGAUGAGGGGAGCAAGGGUUAGGCGCCUCUAUCUGGCCAUAAGGAGUCGCCGUUGUCGCGCCAUAACCUCGGAGUUCCACGUGUGAGCCAUGGAGGUCCGCCUCCACCUGCAAGUACUUCGCUCCGCCGCGCCUUAUCCGCGCGCCGCCGCCAUUCUGCAUCGAGCAGACGCAUCAUCCAAGUCGUUGUAGCUGUCGCGUUGAUUUGAUCCAGAAGCUGUNNNNNNNNNNNNNNNNNNNNNNNNNNNNNNNNNNNNNNNNNNNNNNNNNNNNNNNNNNNNNNNNNNNNNNNNNNNNNNNNNNNNNNNNNNNNNNNNNNNNCAUACCGAAGGACAAAGGGAAUGACAUACGGGAUUAUAUGAAUCCUUGGCACUGAGGUUCAAACGAUAAGACCUUCGUAGAAUAUGUAGGAUCUAAUAUGGGCAUCCAGGUCCCGCUAUUGGAUAUUGACCGAGGAGUCUCUCGGGUCAUGUCUACAUAGUUCUCGAACCCGCAGGGUCUGCACACUUAAGGUUCGACGUUGUUUUAUGCGUAUUUGAGUUAUAUGGUUGGUUACUGAAUGUUGUUCGGAGUCCCGGAUAAGAUCACAGACGUCACGAGGGUUUCCGGAAUGGUCCGGAAACGAAGAUUGAUAUAUAGGAUGACCUCAUUUGAUUACCGGAAGGUUUUCGGAGUUACCGGGAAUGUACCGGGAAUGACGAAUGGGUUCCGGGAGUUCACCGGGGGGGGGGGGCAACCCACCCCGGAGAAGCCCAUAGGCCUUGAGGGGGGCACACCAGCCCUUAGUGGGCUGGUGGGGCAGCCCAAAAGGGCCCUAUGCGCCUAGGAAAGAAAAUCAAAGAGAAAGAAAAAAAAGGAGGAGGUGGGAAGGGAAGGAAGGACUCCCACCCACCAAACCAAGUCCAACUCGGUUUGGGGGGGGGGAGCCUUCCCCCUUGGACUCGGCCGACCCCCUUGGGGCUCCUUGAGCCCCAAGGCAAGGUCCCCUCCCUCCCACCUAUAUAUACGGAGGUUUUAGGGCUGAUUUGAGACGACUUUUCCACGGCAGCCCGACCACAUACCUCCACGAUUUUUCCUCUAGAUCGCGUUUCUGCGGAGCUCGGGCGGAGCCCUGCUGAGACAAGGUCAUCACCAACCUCCGGAGCGCCGUCACGCUGCCGGAGAACUCUUCUUNNNNNNNNNNNNNNNNNNNNNNNNNNNNNNNNNNNNNNNNNNNNNNNNNNNNNNNNNNNNNNNNNNNNNNNNNNNNNNNNNNNNNNNNNNNNNNNNNNNNCAUACCGAAGGACAAAGGGAAUGACAUACGGGAUUAUAUGAAUCCUUGGCACUGAGGUUCAAACGAUAANNNNNNNNNNNNNNNNNNNNNNNNNNNNNNNNNNNNNNNNNNNNNNNNNNNNNNNNNNNNNNNNNNNNNNNNNNNNNNNNNNNNNNNNNNNNNNNNNNNNNNNNNNNNNNNNNNNNNNNNNNNNNNNNNNNNNNNNNNNNNNNNNNNNNNNNNNNNNNNNNNNNNNNNNNNNNNNNNNNNNNNNNNNNNNNNNNNNNNNNNNNNNNNNNNNNNNNNNNNNNNNNNNNNNNNNNNNNNNNNNNNNNNNNNNNNNNNNNNNNNNNNNNNNNNNNNNNNNNNNNNNNNNNNNNNNNNNNNNNNNNNNNNNNNNNNNNNNNNNNNNNNNNNNNNNNNNNNNNNNNNNNNNNNNNNNNNNNNNNNNNNNNNNNNNNNNNNNNNNNNNNNNNNNNNNNNNNNNNNNNNNNNNNNNNNNNNNNNNNNNNNNNNNNNNNNNNNNNNNNNNNNNNNNNNNNNNNNNNNNNNNNNNNNNNNNNNNNNNNNNNNNNNNNNNNNNNNNNNNNNNNNNNNNNNNNNNNNNNNNNNNNNNNNNNNNNNNNNNNNNNNNNNNNNNNNNNNNNNNNNNNNNNNNNNNNNNNNNNNNNNNNNNNNNNNNNNNNNNNNNNNNNNNNNNNNNNNNNNNNNNNNNNNNNNNNNNNNNNNNNNNNNNNNNNNNNNNNNNNNNNNNNNNNNNNNNNNNNNNNNNNNUGUUGGAAUUAUGCCCUAGAGGCAAUAAUAAAUAUAGUUAUUAUUAUAAUUCCUGUAUCAAGAUAAUCGUUUAUUAUCCAUGCUAUAAUUGUAUUGAAUGAAUACUCAUUUACAUGUGUGGAUACAUAGACAAAACACUGUCCCUAGCAAGCCUCUAGUUGGCUAGCCAGUUGAUCAAAGAUAGUCAGUGUCUUCUGAUUAUAAACAAGGUGUUGUUGCUUGAUAACUGGAUCACGUCAUUAGGAGAAUCACGUGAUGGACUAGACCCAAACUAAUAGACGUAGCAUGUUGAUCGUGUCAUUUUGUUGCUACUGUUUUCUGCGUGUCAAGUAUUUGUUCCUAUGACCAUGAGAUCAUAUAACUCACUGACACCGGAGGAAUACUUUGUGUGUAUCAAACGUCGCAACGUAACUGGGUGACUAUAAAGAUGCUCUACAGGUAUCUCCGAAGGUGUUAGUUGAGUUAGUAUGGAUCAAUACUGGGAUUUGUCACUCCGUGUGACGGAGAGGUAUCUCGGGGCCCACUCGGUAAUACAACAUCACACACAAGCCUUGCAAGCAAUGUGACUUAGUGUAAGUUGCGGGAUCUUCUAUUACGGAAAGAGUAAAGAGACUUGCCGGUAAACGAGAUUGAAAUAGGUAUGCGGAUACUGACGAUCGAAUCUCGGGCAAGUAACAUACCGAAGGACAAAGGGAAUGACAUACGGGAUUAUAUGAAUCCUUGGCACUGAGGUUCAAACGAUAAGAUCUUUAUAGAAUAUGUAGGAUCCAAUAUGGGCAUCCAGGUCCCACUAUUGGAUAUUGACCGAGGAGUCUCUCGGGUCAUGUCUACAUAGUUCUCGAACCCGCAGGGUAUGCACACUUAAGGUUCGACGUUGUUUUAUGCAUAUUUGAGAUAUAUGGUUGGUUAUCGAAUGUUGUUCGGAGUCCCGGAUGAGAUCACGGACGUCACGAGGGUUUCCGGAAUGGUCCAGAAACGAAGAUUGAUAUAUAGGAUGACCUCAUUUGAUUACCGGAAGGUUUUCGGAGUUACCGGGAAUGUACCGGGAAUGACGAAUGGGUUCCGGGAGUUCACCGGGGGGGGGGGCAACCCACCCCGGAGAAGCCCAUAGGCCUUGAGGGUGGCACACCAGCCCUUAUUGGGCUGGUGGGGCAGCCCAAAAGGGCCCUAUGCGCCUAGGAAAGAAAAUCAAAGAGAAAGAAAAAAAAGGAGGAGGUGGGAAGGGAAGGAAGGACUCCCACCCACCAAACCAAGUCCAACUCGGUUUGGGGGGGGAGCCUUCCCCCUUGGACUCGGCUGACCCCCUUGGGGCUCCUUGAGCCCCAAGGCAAGGUCCCCUCCCUCCCACCUAUAUAUACGGAGGUUUUAGGGCUGAUUUGAGAUGACUUUUCCACGGCAGCCCGACCACAUACCUCCACGGNNNNNNNNNNNNNNNNNNNNNNNNNNNNNNNNNNNNNNNNNNNNNNNNNNNNNNNNNNNNNNNNNNNNNNNNNNNNNNNNNNNNNNNNNNNNNNNNNNNNCCGAAGGUGUUAGUUGAGUUAGUAUGGAUCAAGACUGGGAUUUGUCACUCCGUGUGACGGAGAGGUAUCUCGGGGCCCACUCGGUAAUACAACAGCACACACAAGCCUUGCAAGCAAUGUAACGUAGUGUAAGUUGCGGGAUCUUGUAUUACGGAACGAGUAAAGAGACUUGCCGGUAAACGAUAUUGAAAUAGGUAUGCGGAUACUGACGAUCAAAUCUCGGGCAAGUAACAUACCGAAGGACAAAGGGAAUAACAUACGGGAUUAUAUGAAUCCAUGGCGCUGAGGUUCAAACGAUAAGAUCUUCGUAGAAUAUGUUGGAUCCAAUAUGGGCAUCCAGGUCCCGCUAUUGGAUAUUGACCGAGAAGUCUCUCGGGUCAUGUCUACAUAGUUCUCGAACCCGUAGGGUCUGCACACUUAAGGUUCGACGUUGUUUUAUGCGUAUUUGAGUUAUAUGGUUGGUUACUGAAUGUUGUUCGGAGUCCCGGAUAAGAUCACAGACGUCACGAGGGUUUCCGGAAUGGUCCGGAAACGAAGAUUGAUAUAUAGGAUGACCUCAUUUGAUUACCGGAAGGUUUUCGGAGUUACCGGGAAUGACGAAUGGGUUCCGGGAGUUCACCGGGGGGGCAACCCACCCCGGGGAAGCCCAUAGGCCUUGAGGGAGGCACACCAGCCCUUAGUGGGCUGGUGGGACAGCCCACAAGUGCCCUAUGCGCCAUAGAGAUAAAAAUCAAAGAGAAAGAAAAAAAAAGGAGGAGGUGGGAAGGAAGGGGACUCCCUCCCACCAAACCAAGUCCAACUCGGUUUGGGGGGGGAGUCCUCCCCCCCUUGGCUCGGCCGAAUCCUUGGGGGGUCCUUGGACCCCAAGGCAAGGCCCCCCUCCCUCCUCCUAUAUAUAUGGAGCAAUUAGGGCUGAUUUGAGACGACUUUCUCACAGCUGCCCGACCACAUACCUCCAUAGUUUUUCCUCUAGAUCGCGUUUCUGCGGAGCUCGGGUGGAGCCCUGCUGAGACAAGGUCAUCACCAAUCUCCGGAGCGCCGUCAUGCUGCCGGAGAACUCUUCUACCUCUAUGUCUCUCUUGCUGGAUCAAGAAGGCCGAGAUCAUCGUCGAGCUGUACGUGUGCUGAACGCGGAGGUGCCGUCCGUUCGGUACUAGAUCGUGGGACUGAUCGCGGGAUUGUUCGCGGGGCGGAUCGAGGGACGUGAGGACGUUCCACUACAUCAACCGCGUUCUCUAACGCUUCUGCUGUAUGGUCUACAAGGGUACGUAGAUCAUUCAUCCCCUCUCGUAGAUGGACAUCACCAUGAUAGGUCUUCGUGCGCAUAGGAAAAUUUUUGUUUCCCGUGCGACGUUCCCCAACAUCAACACCACUUGUGAAGACUUUGGCAACUACUGAACGUGCACCUCUGCCCAGCCCCAGCAAAAUCAUCGCAGUCCCAUCUGCAUCAGAGGGAAGUGAUGAUUAUGACGAUGAAACCCUGCAAGCCAUCAUCAGAAACAAGCAAGAAAGGGUAGCACAAGCAUCAAGCAGUGCUAUUCCUCUGGCCAUGGACCCCAAAGUCCUCCUCGACUACAUCAAUAUAUGGCAUGAGAACCCAAACACUCCCAUUGAUGAUUUGAAACUUCCUCCUGGCAUCAGCCACAUGGUGGCCACCUUCAUAAAUGAAGCCAAGUGGAAAGAACAGCAGGCAAGGCAGGAAAAAGUUGCAAAGGCCAAAAAGGAGAAAUUCCUCAGGCAGAAUCUCCUCAAGCUGACUCCUGAUGCACUGGUGUCAACCCAGGCAGAGCUGCAAGUACUGACUGACAAGUACGCCAAGCUGUCAGAUCGCAAAAGCAUCAGGAGCAAUUUCAUCAAGCUAGCCACUAGUGUUGUUGAUGACUACAACAAGAGAACCGCACCCCCAGCACCAACUCCUCAGCCCUUGGUUGAGCAGCCAGCAGAUGCAUCUCCUGAUGAGGAGGAAACUCCUCAAGCUGAGGAAGAACACCAAGAGCACCGUGUUGAUGAACCGGCCAUUGAAGAAAUCAUCACAGAAACUGCAACUGAUGAAAUUGCAACCACUGAUGAGACUGCUCCUGAUCCAGCUGCUUCAUCAAAGCAGGCUGAUGACUCUGUUCCUGCUGGUUCCUCACUACCAGCUGAAGAAUCUGCAGAAAGAACACCUUCACCAAAAGCUUCAAAAGUGAAGAAGAUAAUUCCGUCUGCAUCAGACGUGAAGAAAACUAGGGCUGCUGAAAAGGAAGCAAAGAAGAGAAAAGCCUCCUCAGCAGUAGAAGAGACAGAGGCAAAGCGCCUCAAAGAAACUGAAGAAACUGCUCCUCUGGACCCAGUGCCUCUCAAUGUUGCCCAUUCCUACGAGAUGGUUGUCAUUAAUGACCCAGCAACAAGGGUAGAUGAGGAAAUGAAGGAUGUUGCCUCUGAGGAACACACUGAUGAGGAAAUCCAGAUAGAUGACAGUCUUCAACCUCUUAUUCCUCAGACAGAGACUGCUCAAGCAUCAGCUGCACCAGCUGAUGAAACUGCUUCUGCCACAAAGCCAGCUGAAGAAAAACAUGCUGAGGAAAAUGUACAUUCUGAGCAGACUCCUCAAGAUGAGGAACAGACUGACCCAACUCCUCAAAAUGAGAAAGAGGCAGAAAUUCCACAGCCUGAAGCUCAGCCAGAGCAAGCAUCAUCUCCCCAGCAAGAAGUACCAGCUGAUGAAAUUUCUCAACUUGAGGAAAAUGCUGAAGAAAAUGUACCCGCCCAAGACAAUGAAUUCAUUGUGCUCAACCCAGAGACUGCCACUGUUGUCUCCCCCCCAUUCCUCAGCAAAAUCUCAAGCCAGUUCAGCGUCAGCCCUUCUCCAAGCGUCCAAAGUUUCAGAAAGAAAAUUUCUUUGAGGAACGCAUGUAUUUCAUCGGAGAGAACCCUUAUGACAAGCCUCAAAUGAGGCAUCUGAAGUUUUGGACAAGGACUCAGAUGAACUACUAUGCCUCUGUACUCUGUGGACGCAACAAGAUAUUCCAGCGCAUGCACAUUCCUCAUGUUGAGCUUGAAGAAAUACCUUGCAUGGAACCAGUCCUCAGUGUACUCCACGAUGCAGGUUUGCUUCCUAUGUGCUCCGACAUAUCAGACUGGAACAGUGAGCUUAUUCUUCAGUUCUAUGCCACUCUUCAUAUAUCUGGCAACCCUGAAGACAUCAACACUUGGGUGUUUGAUUGGAUGACACAAAACACUCACUACAAGGCUCCUGCUUCUGAACUCCUCAGAGAACUGCCCGUACCAAUUCCCUCAGAUGGGGCAGUGAAGCUUUAUGGUGAGUGUGAGCUGCCAAAUGGAAUGAUGGAAGUCCUCAUGAAGCCUUUGGCUGCAGGAAAGCCCUCAAGAACCACAUUCCUCGUCCAUGAGCUCAAGUACACACCCCGCUCUGUCUAUAGAAUCCUCUGCAAUGUGCUCGCGCCAAUCAAAGGCCAUGACGAUGAAGAAGAUGUUGUAGGCCUCAUGAAGAAUAUCCUCUUCAACAUCAUUCACGGUAUUCCUAUUAAUAUCCAUGAUUUCUUCUUGAGGACUUUGGCUGACAAUGCAAUGUGCCCAUAUGAUCACAAGAUUUAUGCCCCGUGGAUCAUGAGAUUCAUCAGGACAAGGACAGGCAUCAACUUCCACGCUGAUUUCCAAAACCACAUGGGUUAUAUGCCUCCUAUCCGGGUCAACAAGAAGACUUUCGAGCCCAUCGAAGGAAAAGGAAAAUCUGUGAUUGAAGAAGGCAGCAGGCCCCUUGAUGGCCAGUUCAAAGAGCCAGAAGCAUAUUCUUCAUGGGACGAUACUGAGACUCGUCCAGCAAGCCCUGUUCCUCCUCGCGUGCUGAACACCAGAGAGCUCCUCCUCAGUCUUCACCAGAAGGUGGAUCACAACCACAAAUGGGUCAAACGCCAGUUUGGUGCCAUUGUGAAAACCCUCACUGAGACUCAGAACUCUGUGAAGCUUAAUCAUCACUAUCCGCAUGAGGUUUUCGAUCGCACCUGGGCUACACUUGCACAUCUGAAGACCCAGACUGAGCUUGAAGAAAUGAACUUUGAGCAGGACUUUGAGUGGUUGUGGCCUCCCAAGAGAAAGUUCAGGCCCAUUCCAGUGCCAGACCUUGAAGACAGCUCCUUUUCUUCAUUCCGCACUGCUGAAUCUGAUGAGGAACAACUCGACACUGCAACCGGCCCCAGGAAGAAGACUACUCCCAAGAAGCAUCACGGCUCUUCCUCGACCGCCAAGAAAUGAAGUCUUCAUGGGCGUUAGUCCUCAGUUUGUCCCUUUUUGUCACUUGAUGACAAAGGGGGAGAAACUCGAGAGUUACUCUUCAAGCGGGAAAUUUUGGGGCUUAUAAACUAUAUUAUGUUACAAACUCUUGGCUCUUCUGAAGUUUUUUAUGUAAUGAGUUGUAACUUAAGCCCGAUGGUACCCUGACACUUUUGAACGCUUUUCUUCGCAUGCUUAUUCCUCAUGUUUUAAUGCACGCAUGCUGGAAUUCGUCAGAUACCAUUUGCCAUCAUGCAUCUUCAUUUUCUUCAUAUGAUAUGUUAUAUGUAUGCAUGAUUUACAAGACUCAGGGGGAGAUCUCCAUGAUAUAAAUCAUCAAUGUGCAUUUCCUAUAAAAGCAAAAUCAUCAAGGUAUGCACAUCUUCAAGGGGAGUCUCUCUGAAUCUUGUUUUCGAAUUCCUCAAAUGAGUAUUUACACUUCACGUUUUUGAUCCCUGUUGAAGACUUAACCUAAUUUUCAUCAACCACCAAAAAGGGGGAGAUUGUAAGUGCAUCUAGUGCCCCUUAGUGACUUUGGUGGUUUGAAGACUUAUAGGUUAAGUAUCUAAUGUGUUUGUGANNNNNNNNNNNNNNNNNNNNNNNNNNNNNNNNNNNNNNNNNNNNNNNNNNNNNNNNNNNNNNNNNNNNNNNNNNNNNNNNNNNNNNNNNNNNNNNNNNNNGCGUGCAAGUGACUUGUUGGAAAUCAUACAUACCGAUGUGUGUGGUCCAAUGAGCGUGGAGGCACGCGGCGGAUAUCGUUAUUUCCUCACCUUCACUGACGAUUUAAGUAGAUAUGGUUAUGUCUACUUGAUGAAGCACAAGUCUGAAACAUUUGAAAAGUUCAAGCAAUUUCAGAGUGAAGUGGAAAAUCAUCGUAACAAGAAGAUCAAGUUCCUACGGUCUGAUCAUGGGGGUGAAUAUCUGAGUUUCGAGUUUGGUGCUCACUUAAGACAAUGUGGAAUUGUUUCGCAGUUAACACCGCCUGGAACACCACAGCGUAAUGGUGUGUCCGAACGUCGUAAUUGUACUUUGUUAGAGAUGGUGCGAUCUAUGAUGUCUCUUACUGAUUUGCCGUUAUCAUUUUGGGGUUAUGCAUUAGAAACAGCUGCAUUCACUUUAAAUAGGGCACCAUCAAAAUCUGUUGAGACGACACCAUACGAACUGUGGUAUGGCAAAAGGCAAAAGUUGUCGUUUCUUAAAGUUUGGGGAUGUGAUGCUUAUGUCAAAAAGCUUCAGCCUGAAAAGCAGGAACCCAAAGCGGAAAAAUGCGUCUUCAUAGGCUACCCAAAAGAGACAGUUGGGUACACCUUCUAUCUCAAAUCCGAGGGCAAAGUGUUUGUUGCUAAGAACGGAGCUUUUCUCGAGAAGGAGUUUCUCUCGAGAGAAUUGAGUGGGAGGAAGAUAGAACUUGAUGAGGUUGUCGAACCUCUCAUCCCUCUGGAUGGUGGCGCAGGGCAAGGGGAAACCUCUGUCAUUGCGACGCCGGUUGAGGAGGAAGUUAAUGAUGAUGAUCAUGAAACUCCAGUUCAAGUUUCUGUUGAACCACGCAGGUCGACGAGAUCACGCGCUGCUCCAGAGUGGUACGGUAAUCCCGUCUUAUCAAUCAUGUUGUUAGACAACAAUGAACCUGCAAAUUAUGAAGAAGCAAUGGUGGGCUCAGAUUCCAACAAAUGGCUUGAAGCCAUGAAAUCCGAGAUAGGAUCCAUGUAUGAGAACAAAGUGUGGACUUUGGAGAUACUACCUGAGGGCCGCAAGGCUAUUCAGAACAAAUGGAUCUUUAAGAAGAAGACGGACGCUGACGGUAAUGUGACCGUUUAUAAAGCUCGACUUGUGGCAAAGGGUUUUUCACAAGUUCCAGGAGUUGACUAUGAUGAGACUUUCUCACCCGUAGCGAUGCUUAAGUCCGUCAGAAUCAUGUUAGCAAUAGCUGCAUUUUUCGAUUAUGAAAUCUGGCAGAUGGAUGUCAAAACGACGUUCCUUAACGGUUUCCUUAAGGAAGAGUUGUAUAUGAUGCAACCCGAAGGUUUUGUCGAUCCUAAAAAUGCUGACAAGGUGUGCAGGCUCCAGCGAUCCAUUUAUGGACUGGUGCAAGCAUCUCGGAGUUGGAACAAACGCUUUGAUGAGGUGAUCAAAGCAUUUGGGUUUAUAGAAGUGGUUGGAGAAUCUUGUAUUUACAAGAAAGUGAGUGGGAGCUCUGUGGCGUUUCUAAUACUAUAUGUGGAUGACAUAUUACUGAUUGGAAACAACAUAGAGCUUUUGGAGAGCAUAAAAGGUUACUUGAAUAAAAGUUUCUCUAUGAAGGACCUAGGAGAAGCUGCUUACAUUCUAGGCAUUAAGAUCUAUAGGGAUAGAUCAAAACGCCUGAUAGGACUUUCACAAAGCACAUACCUUGAUAAAGUUUUGAAGAGGUUCAAAAUGGAAUAGUCCAAGAAAGGGUUCUUGCCAGUGUUACAAGGUACGAGAUUGAGUAAGACUCAGUGCCCAGCAACUGAUGAAGAUAGAGAGCAUAUGCGCUCCGUCCCCUAUGCUUCAGCCAUAGGUUCUAUCAUGUAUGCGAUGUUGUGCACUAGACCGGAUGUUAGCCUGGCCAUAAGUAUGGCAGGCAUGUUCCAGAGUAAUCCAGGAGUGGAUCACUGGACAGCGGUCAAGAAUAUCCUGAAGUACCUGAAAUGGACUAAGGAGAUGUUUCUCGUGUAUGGAGGUGACGAAGAGCUCGCCGUAAAAGGUUACGUCGAUGCAAGCUUUGACACAGAUCCGGACGACUCUAAGUCGCAAACCGGAUACGUAUUUAUUCUUAAUGGGGGUGCAGUAAGCUGGUGCAGUUCCAAGCAAAGCGUCGUAGCAGAUUCUACAUGUGAAGCGGAGUACAUGGCUGCCUCGGAGGCGGCUAAGGAGGGUGUCUGGAUGAAGCAGUUCAUGACGGAUCUUGGAGUGGUGCCAAGUGCACUGGAUCCAAUAACCUUGUUCUGUGACAACACUGGUGCCAUUGCCUUAGCAAAGGAACCACGGUUUCACAAGAAGACCAGACACAUCAAACGACGCUUCAACCUCAUCCGCGACUACAUCGAGGAGGAGGACGUAAAUAUAUGCAAAGUGCACACGGAUCUGAAUGUAGCAGACCCGCUAACUAAACCUCUUCCACGGCCAAAACAUGAUCGACACCAGAACUGUAUGGGUGUUAGAUUUAUUACAAUGUAAUUCACAUGGUGAUGUGAGGGCUAGAUUAUUGACUCUAGUGCAAGUGGGAGACUGUUGGAAUUAUGCCCUAGAGGCAAUAAUAAAUGUAUAGUUAUUAUUAUAAUUCCUGUAUCAAGAUAAUAGUUUAUUAUCCAUGCUAUAAUUGUAUUGAAUGAAGACUCAUUUACAUGUGUGGAUACAUAGACAAAACACUGUCCCUAGCAUGCCUCUAGUUGGCUAGCCAGUUGAUCGAUGAUAGUCAGUGUCUUCUGAUUAUGAACAAGGUGUUGUUGCUUGAUAACUGGAUCACGUCAUUGGGAGAAUCACGUGAUGGACUAGACCCAAACUAAUAGACGUAGCAUGUUGAUCGUGUCAUUUUGUUGCUACUGUUUUCUGCGUGUCAAGUAUUUGUUCCUAUGACCAUGAGAUCAUAUAACUCACUGACACCGGAGGAAUACUUUGUGUGUAUCAAACGUCGCAACGUAACUGGGUGACUAUAAAGAUGCUCUACAGGUAUCUCCGAAGGUGUUAGUUGAGUUAGUAUGGAUCAAGACUGGGAUUUGUCACUCCGUGUGACGGAGAGGUAUCUCAGGGCCCACUCGGUAAUACAACAUCACACACAAGCCUUGCAAGCAAUGUAACUUAGUGUAAGUUGCGGGAUCUUGUAUUACGGAACGAGUAAAGAGACUUGCCGGUAAACGAUAUUGAAAUAGGUAUGCGGAUACUGACGAUCGAAUCUCGGGCAAGUAACAUACCGAAGGACAAAGGGAAUGACAUACGGGAUUAUAUGAAUCCUUGGCACUGAGGUUCAAACGAUAAGAUCUUCGUAGAAUAUGUUGGAUCCAAUAUGGGCAUCCAGGUCCCGCUAUUGGAUAUUGACCGAGAAGUCUCUCGGGUCAUGUCUACAUAGUUCUCGAACCCGCAGGGUCUGCACACUUAAGGUUCGACGUUGUUUUAUGCGUAUUUGAGUUAUAUGGUUGGUUACCGAAUGUUGUUCAGAGUCCCGGAUGAGAUCACGGAAGUCACGAUUGUUCGGAGUCCCGGAUGAGAUCACAGACGUCACGAGGGUUUCCGGAAUGGUCCGGAAAUGAAUAUUGAUAUAUAGGAUGACCUCAUUUGAUUAUCGGAAGGUUUUCGGAGUUACCGGGAAUUUACCGGGAAUGACGAAUGGGUUCCGGGAGUUCACCGGGGGGGGGGGCNNNNNNNNNNNNNNNNNNNNNNNNNNNNNNNNNNNNNNNNNNNNNNNNNNNNNNNNNNNNNNNNNNNNNNNNNNNNNNNNNNNNNNNNNNNNNNNNNNNNNNNNNNNNNNNNNNNNNNNNNNNNNNNNNNNNNNNNNNNNNNNNNNNNNNNNNNNNNNNNNNNNNNNNNNNNNNNNNNNNNNNNNNNNNNNCCUCCCACCAAACCAAGUCCAACUCGGUUUGGGGGGGGAGUCCUCCCCCCUUGGACUCGGCCGACCCCCUUGGGGCUCCUUGAGCCCCAAGGCAAGGUCCCCUCCCUCCCACCUAUAUAUACGGAGGUUUUAGGGCUGAUUUGAGACGACUUUUCCACGGCAGCCCGACCACAUACCUCCACGGUUUUUCCUCUAGAUCGCGUUUCUGCGGAGCUCGGGCGGAGCCCUGCUGAGACAAGGUCAUCACCAACCUCCGGAGCGCCGUCACGCUGCCGGAGAACUCUUCUACCUCUUCGUCUCUCUUGCUGGAUCAAGAAGGCCGAGAUCAUCGUCGAGCUGUACGUGUGCUGAACGCGGAGGUGCCGUCCGUUCGGUACUAGAUCGUGGGACUGAUCGCGGGAUUGUUCGCGGGGCGGAUCGAGGGACGUGAGGACGUUCCACUACAUCAACCGCGUUCACUAACGCUUCUGCUGUACGGUAUACAAGGGUACGUAGAUCACUCAUCCCCUCUCGUAGAUGGACAUCACCAUGAUAGGUCUUCGUGCGCGUAGGAAAUUUUUUGUUUCCCAUGCGACGUUCCCCAACAUACGGAUCCACUCUCGUCUCCCCUUCCGUCCUCAGAAAGGUCGCAAGCUCCUCUGCAACAGCAAUCGCGCGUUGCUCUGGUAGGACCUUCGUCCUAAUGGCCGUGUACUAUAUAAGAAGAGGAGAUGAAUAUGAAUAUCAAUCAUGAUAACAAAGAAUGACGGGUAAAAAUAGAGGUGUGAAUGUUCAUUGCUUAUGUCGAAUCUGUGAUCCUUGUGCUCAGAGGUAAACGUGCGAAUGGUCUCGUAAACAUAGUAUCCGCAUAGAUGCGUUCCCCGUGGCUGCUGGUCGCACUUUACGAGAAUAGAAUAUAUAUAAUCAAAAUAAUAAUCUAGCAUCAUAAAUGUAUUGAAAAUAGAAGUAUAUCAUACUACUACUUACCUGAGCCGCUCUAAAGGUCAGCUUCUCAGGAAAGUUACCGGGAGUCACGCACUUGAACCGCUUCCAAACCCUGCCCGACAAGGAUAAUGAUUUGCUAAGUUUUUCAUUAAUUGAUAUAUCAGAAAAUCAUCCGGAGGGGUUUAGAUAUGAAGACGGAGAUUCAGCUGGUUCAACGUCGGGGCCGUCUUUGAUUAUAUCUUCGAGAAGUUCUUCCUCUUCGAGGUUCCUGAUAUGUGGAUCCAUAGUUCUGCAAAAAACGGGCAUUUGAUUAACUAAUAAACUAACAAACUAUAUAAGAGGGGUUGGAAACAUCGAAGUGUCGUUUUAUAUAGGAGGACCUUUAGUCUCGGGUCUUGGCUAGAACCUAAACACUAAAAUACCAGCCGGGCGGAGCCCAGUCCGGGACACUUAAGCAUAUACAAUAGCAAAAUUAAACUAGUUCUAUUAAUUUUCUUGCUAAAAAUAAACUAUUAACACUUAAGCAUAUACAAUAGCAAAAUUAAACUAUUAACACUUAAGCAUAUACAAUAGCAAAAUUAAGCAAUAAUCUAAGAAACACUAUUAACACUUAAGCAUAUACACCAUACAAUAGCAAAAUUAAAUGACAAAAAAAAUAUUUCUUCUUCUUGUAACCCUAAACUAAUUUUUCCUCUUCUUCUAUUUCUCCUCUUCUUCUACUUCUUCUUCUACUUCUACUUCUCCUCUUCUUCUACUACUUCUCCUCUUCUCUUCUUCUACUUCUCCUCUCCUCCUCUUCUAAUUUUUUCUCUUCUUCUACUUCUCCUCUUCUUUCUAUUUUUCCUCUUCUUCUCCUCUCCUCCUCUUCUUAUUCUCCUUUUUCUUCUUUUCUUCUCCUCCUCUUCUUAUUUUCCUUUUUCCUAAUUCUACAUAUUACUAACCCUAAUAAUCUAGAACAAACCUAAUAACAAUAGGAAUUAAAUGACAAAAAAAAUCUUUUUCUUCUUUUCUUCCCUUUUUCUUCCUUUCUUCUCCUUUUUCUUCCUUUCUUCUCCUUUUUCUUCUUUUCUUCCCUUUUUCUUCUUUUCUUCUCCUUCCCUUUUUCUUCAUUUCUUCUCCUUUUUCUUCCUUUCUUCUCCUUUUUCUUCCUUUCUUCUCCUUUUUCUUCUUUUCUUCUCCUUUUUCUUCUUUUCUUCUACUGGCCGGAGUGUUGGGGAGGAGGGGGCGGGGGGCUUACCGGCCGGAGGUGUCGACGGCGCGCGGCGAGGAGGACGGCGGCGCGCGGCGAGGAGGACGGCAGGCACGCGGCGAGGAAUGCGGCGGCGCACGGCGAGGAGGACGGCGACGCGCGGCGAGGAAUGCGGCGGCGCGCGGCGAGGAGGACGGCAGGCGGCGGCGAGCAGGACGGCGGGCAGCCUGACGGCGUCGUCGAGUUCGUCGCUGUGCCGCGCCGGGCAGGAGAACGAGGAAGAAGGAGAGAAGGAAAUGCGAUUUGGGUUGGAAAUUUUCUAACUCCCGCUUAUAUAGGUGGACCUUUAGUCCCGGUUCGGGGCUCGAACCGGGACUAAAGACCCCCUUUACUCCCAGGUGGAGCCACGACCCGGGACUAAAGGCCCUUUUUGGUAGACCAGAAGGCGGGAAGCAGGGGCCUUUAGUCCCGGUUUGUGGCAAGAACCGGGACUAAAGGUUAGGCUAUUAGUCCCGGUUUUAGACAAAAGCCGGGACUAAAGUGUUGCCUAUAUAAACCCUCGCCCCUGCCCACCAUCUCCCCUGUUUUUUGGUUGUUGAAGUGUGACCAUGCCAUGCUCUUGCCACUCUAGUUCAUGCACAUGACGUGUUCGAUGAAAUGCCCGAGCCACUCUACUUAAGCUUUCUCCUCUCCAAGCUCGACCUCCAAGCUCCAUUUUCCUUAAUAUUUUUUUAGGUUUGGCCGUGCACCAACUGCACAAGUGUUUUAAAAGGUUAGCUACUUCAUCCUUUCAUUUGUCACUGCUAGUGUAGCUCAUUUCAAAUGCUCAAAUUAACUUCUUAGAGUCUGCACAUGCGUAGGGUGUCGUCCCGUGCCCGUCCUCACCAUUGUCGAUCGCCCCGCGCCCCUCUUUAUUUCUGAACAGACGUUUCAACCGUGGUAUUAUAGGAGCAUACCACAUCACCUUGGCAGGAACCCUCUUCCUGGGUGGCUCGCCCUCAAUAUCACCAGGGUCAUCUUUUCUGAUCUUAUACCGCAAUGCAGUGCAUACCGGGCAUUUAUCCAUAUUCUCGUACUUCUCACCGCGGUAGAAGAUGCAGUCAUUAGGGCAUGCAUGUAUCUUCUGCACGUCUAAUCCUAGAGGGCAGACAAGCUUCUUUGCUUCGUACGUGCCGGCGGGCAAUUCGUUCUCUCUUGGAAGCAUCUUCUUCAUCAGUACCAGCAACUUUUCGAAUGAUGAGUCAGUCACACCGGUCUCUGCCUUCCACUUCAGCAAUUCCAGUGUGCUACCCAGCUUCUUCUGGCCAUCUUCACAAGUUGGGUACAACAAUUUGUUGUGGUCCUGUAACAUCUGCUCGAACUGCAACCUCUCCUUUUCUGUGUCGCAACCUCGCCGUGCAUCAGAAAUGACCCGGCCAAGAUCAUCAGCGGGCUCAUCUGGUUCCCGUUCUUCAUCCUGAUCUUCUUCUUCAUUGUCUUCCAUUGCGGUAUCAGCAUACUCAGGGAACAUAGAUCGGUAGUUGUCACCAUCGUUCUCUUCUUCUUCAUCGUCGUGAUCCAUCAUAACCCCUCUUUCUCCGUGCUUGGUCCAAACAUUAUAGCCCGACAUAAAACCGGACCGAAGCAGGUGGCUCUGAAUGACUCUUGAGGAAGUGUAAUCCUUCUCAUUCCGACAUUCAACACAUGGACAAAACAUAUAGCCACCACCAUGCUUGUUUGCAUCGGAUGCAUCUCGAAAAGAAUGCACGCCUUCUCUGUAAGCGGCUGUGCGUCGAUCACCGUACAUCCAUGGAUGGCUCAUUUGUGUUAUACGACAGUAUAUCCAAUACAAUCACGAUCAUAAAAAUUAGUACCUCACGGUCUAAAUGAGGAAAUAUAGUUGCUAACCUUUUAGAAUAAGUAUAAAUAAAGAGGAAGAGGUUUAAGCGUGGCUCGGGCAUCUCAUAUCGUAGUUCUGUUCGGUGAACUGAAGCGGCAUCGCUCUAACACACAUUUCAACAAACACCUCUAGUGCAUCAAAAAAAGUGGAGAGCUAGCACACACCCACAAUCCUGCAUCCAAGAAAAAUGCAAGGAAGAGGGGAGAGGGGGGCUGUGCUAUAUAUAGGCAGAGGACUUUAGUCCCGGUUUGAGACACAAACCGGGACUAAAGGUGGCGCACAUGCGGGCUGCCCACCGCAUAGCCCUUUAGUCCCGGUUUGGGACACGAACCGGGACUAAAGGUUCCUUACGGGCCGGGACUAAAGCCUCGAGGGAGGCAUUGAGAAUUGGGGCGACGUGGCCGGGCCUUUAAUCCCGGUCCAGAGGCAGGCCGGGACUAAAGGGUCCCGGCCAAAGGCCCGUUUUCCACUAGACACACAGAAUUUACAUUUGGAGACCCUGACAAUAUUGUGGUUGGGACAUGGAAAGUACCCUUUUGCGCUCUAGCUCAAAUGCACCCGGGUGAACAGUAAAAUUUAAAUAAAUCAAAAACAUUUUAAAAAAUUCUGAAUUUUUUAUGAUGAACUUUCACAAAAGUUCUAAGUUCUUGCAAAUUUUUAUCAUGAUAUCACAUUCGUGUAAGGCGUGACAAAAAAACAAAAUUAAUGUUUCAAAAUGCUUUCGAAAGUAGCAUUUUCAAAGCAUCGUUUUGUUUCUUCAUCACCCCUUACUAAAACUAGUAAACUUACACGUGCACGCACGUAUGAAAUGUUGAACAAAUAAGAUACACGCCGGUAUAAAUGUUUUCAAAGAUAUAUAAAUUAAAUUGGUACACGAUGUUGUGACGCCACUGAAGUUGUAUAUCCAAAGUGAGCCAUCAUUGUAGUCAUGUUGCAGCAUAGAGACAAUAAUAUAUUUGUUCAUCUAUUUGGUCUCUAAUAGGUUGGAAAGAAGAACAUUAAAUCUAGUAAAAUCCUCCGAACUCCCAUAUUGCAAAAUAUAUUGUGUUACUGGAUAAGCUAAUUCCAAUAUGAUACUCUGAGUACACAUCAUAAAUUUAUCCCAAGAAAGAGAUCUGUUUGGAGAAGAAAACAGAACAACAAUUGUAUAAUAUAUAAUGUUGAUUCUUCCCUUUUUUCUUGACAACGGCAUGUAAAAUUUUCACAUCGACUCUGAGUAAAACUCUCCAUUCCCUAUGAUUCAUUCAAAUUGGAGGGCUCGUAAUUAUAAGUUGAAAUUGUGUUGUGGCAUCUAACGUGAGCGUACAAAAUGUCAUGAUAGAUAUCACUAAAUUCAUCUCGGACAUUGGUAAUUCAACUGUGCCGAACUGCCAAACUACAAAAUAAGUACAAAACCAUGGAAUGGAUGACAAUGUAUUCAAAAGGGAUUACACAUACUUGUAAAUUGUUGUUUAUAAUACCUACCACACCAUGGUCCGUGACUAAUAAGUCAGUCAUCAUCUAUUUUAGCAACAAAUACUAACUGUUUUAGCAAACUUGCAAUAGCACUACUAACUGUUUUAGCAAACUUGCAAUAGCACUGAUCACCAUCUAGAGGUCCUAGGCUGAAUUGAAUGGACAGUAGCCACCAGGACAACUCAUAGUUUAUAUUUGUUACCGACACUCAAUUGAGCAUUACGAGGCAAUCGAUCUCCAAGAUUAAUUUAUGUGUUCAUCCCUCAAUUGCCAAGACCAUCCCAUCGCGACACGCUUGUUCCUCCACAACAAUAGGGCCUAGAAGUUAUAACAUGAGGGCGAACUUCGAGUAUGCACUUGUCACACAUAUCGCCUUCAUUUGUCAUGGCGGCUUCUACUAAAAAAUAUGACAUUAAACAUCAUAUGCACAACGUCACAUGAUCUUUGUAAAAACACAAACCAGCUACAUAACACAUGGACAUCAGCACCUAACACGAAUAUGAUAUGCUUAUGUGGCCAUGGGCGUCUCUGUUUUGCAAAACACAUAUUAUGGUAACAGUAAUGAUAAUGAAACUGGGAUAAUGAUGACAAUUUAAUAGAAGCAUCAUGAGAAAGAGCAUUCCCCCACUACCAUACAUGAUCUAUAGUUUCCCUUCUAUCCUUGAAAUGACUCUUCGGUGCAGCUUAUACAGUGUAAAUACAACGAACAAUUGACAAAGCAAGCUAUCUGAAAGGAGUGUUUAAAAAUUAAGUUAGUAUAAAAGUUUGCAACUAUAGUGUCCAUGUUAGUGUCGCCUGAUUACCCAUGUCUCAGCUGACGAAAGCAUACAUUAUCCUUCCGAAGUAAGAUUAAGAUAAUAGUUAACUUUGACCAAGGAAGGACCUGACCUGAUGUUUUCCGGCUCUCACAAAUUUGAUAUGAUUAGCACUAGACAAAAACGAAUAGAUAUCACCAAGAUGAAAAUUUAGAGUAUGAGUAUCUCUAUAGACAGGGAAUUCAGUACUCGUACAUAAGAUAGCACUGCCAACAAUCUAACAAAGGUAAGGAAACCUUACCACACAAGACAAGCCAUCUUUGAGAUACAUCCUAAUUAAGGUGGAAUAGUUUCAGUCUCUGGUUGAAUGCUCAUGAGCUUAUUCGUUAGUACAUAGAAGCUAAUUUCCCUUAAGUAUCAGCGCAAUAUCAUAUUUGAGCUAAUUUCUCCAAGAAUAAUGGGAGUGCUCACUUUAGCAAUGAGAAUGAUUCUAGGUAGUAUUGCCCACUAUCUUUUGAACUUCUUCAGGAAUACAUUUGCGCAAUUGUCUGGCCGAGUGGAAAGGCUUAAGAUGAUUACUAACCCAAAAAAAAUUGUCAAACAAAAACAAUGAAAAAAAAUAGAUCAGGGACAGUGAACUGUUCCAAUAUAAUCAGGGGUCACAUUGCAAACUGAGACUGAAUUGCCAACCAGCAUGUAUGUCUUCUGUGAAUAUGAAACAAACCGAUGUUUUUCAUCAAUCAUAAAAGAAACUAAAAAUAAGGCAUGCGAUCUACCUCCAAUGAAUUACUAUGACAUUCUAAUUUUUUGUCUCCUAUGCUUGUUUGACUACUAAAUGCACUAUACAAAAUUAUGUGUAAACCUAAUAGUGAAUGAUUCUUAUAUAAAGCAAUGGAAUGCUGAUAUGGAAGGAAUACUAAUUUGUCAGCAUAAUCUAUGUUUGUGAACAAUGUUAUCAAUCUCGUCACAUAGGAUGACCUCUCACCAAAUGCUUGGUUGGUAAGAUAUUCACUGAAGGAUGGUUUUCUUCACUCUUCGGUGCAUAUAACUGAAAAAAUAGAACAGUAUAACAAAUUGCAUCAACUUGAACAAAGGAAAUGAAAUAUGAUCAUGAGCUGCAACAUAAGCCUGCAUCUCUUGCAUUCUUCAUACAAAUACUUUCCUGAAAGCCAGCUUGGAAGGACAAUCGUGGCACUUCUGUUGGUACUUGCUAUCUCCCCCAACUUGGAUUGUCGUGGCCGCCUCCCGUCGGGCCGACUUCUCUGCUCCACCGCUGAAGAGGGGCGGGGAAGGGGCUGCCAAGCCAUCGACGGUUGACUGAGGAGGAGCCGAGGAGCCCGACGCCCGUCAGACCUCAAUCACUCCGGCAAUCGGCUCCUUGUUCCAAUCCCAUAUGAUCCAAUCCCCUUACCAACACCCGGAGGGGCAGAAUGCUGCGAGGAACAAAUUCCACUCAUGGAAGGCGGACAUGGGAGGAGAGAGGCGGGGGAGCGGAGGAGAGGCGGCCGGGAAGGCCAGAGGAGUGAGGGAGCGGGGGGACGUGUGUGGGAAGUGUCAGCGAUGAGAGUAGGCAACUGACGAGGGCGGAUAGAGAGGAGGUGUGGAGGGUCAGGGGGAUUAGGCGGUGAUAGCAUGGGUAAUUUUGUGAGGUUGUGUGCUCAACAUCGUUAAUGCGGGUUUCGUUAAUGCAGAUUUCGAACCUUUAGAUUUCGUAAUUUUCUGAUUAGACAGUUGAGAUGACGAUUUGGAUCUGUCCUCUCAUGCUUUUUAUAGUAGAGAUGCGAUAUCACGAUGAAAAUUUACAAACCCUUAAAACUUUUGUCAAAGUACAUAACAAUUUUUUUUAAAUUUCUUUACUGUUUAUGCAUGUCCAUUUGAGCUCGAGCUCAAAUACUCCAUAUCCUUGGGACACCCCGUACAGUGACAUUACAGCUUAUAGUAGUUAGACCAUAAAAACGGCGUCUCGUCACCACAACUAACUCACUGAUUACCGAGUCAGACGGAAGCGAUGUGGAACAGUGCAAGCCGGCAAGUACGCGCAGCUGAAUCCUAGUACCUGGCUUUCCUGUAGCAGUUGACGCUGUCUGAGAGCAGAAGAGGGCCUUGCGAUCAUGAAGCGACCGAAAGGCCAAUAUAUACGUUGAGUGCUCCCGACAUUCGAAAAAGCUUGUCCCAAUUUUGUUCCUUAAAUGGAUGUAUCUAACAUUAAUUUGAUGUUAGAUACAUGCAUUUGAAGGACAAACUUUUUGGACGGACGGAGUAUAUAUUAGAAAAUAUAAAAUAGAUUAGGAUUUAUUCCUGUCUUAUCUGAUACUAUAAAAUAGUCAUGUAUUUUUAUACAUACGUUCAUGAGCCUCAAGAAAUAGAAUCAUCAAUUUCAUCAAUCCUCUUCUAUCUCCUUUUCUUUUGCCAGGGACCUUUCUAUCUCAUUUAGCAUGGUAUGGGUGUAAUUGAUCUAAAGCCUAGCCACCGUCCACCACAUUCGCCCUGUUAGUCGCCUCAAGGACGGUCGGCCCCAUGACAGCCGUCAGGGCCGCGUCGCCCGUAUCUAGGAUUCGUCCGUCGGUUGUGUUUAGUAUUUUUCCUGAUUUCUAGAUUCGGGUUCUUCUUUCUUCAACUAGUCGCAUUGAUCGAUGUUUUCGUUUUGAUUUUUCGAUCUAAGAUCGGUUUGCGUCGCCCGCUGCCGCAUUGGCCCUACGCCUCUACUUCGAAACCGACGUGAGCGACCGGCUUCUUCUCCGACCAGGCGGCCUCGCGCAACGAGGCAUCCCCUCACGGUCGUCGUCCGCGCGUCUGUCCGCCCAUCGCCAUCCUGCUCCGACCAGGACUGCUCCAUCACAACCCGUCUCCAUCGCGUGUGUACGGCCGCUCUGCCGUCUGCCUCAUCGACCCCGUCACUGCCCCUGGAACCCCUGGAUGACCACCACCGACAACCCCUGGAUCGCCGUCCUAGGCGUCCGCAUGACGACUGAGGAGAAUCGAUCUGGGAUGGGAUUCCAGAUUUGCCGCCGCUAGUCACCAUGACUGGCCCCCGCCAACCCCCGCAGACAUGAUGGCCCAGCCAGCACCGGAAUCCCAUCGACCCGCAGCCUAAUCGUGUCAAUUGCACCUCCACACCGGGUGUCCAGCGUAGCCAUCGCAUCUCGGCUAGAGAUCCCCUCGCGGAAACAAGAAGAUAGCAUGUCGUCCGCCGUGCAUCGGGCGAGCUUCGCUCGCUGACCUCCUUCUCCGGCAGCGGGGAAGCAGGAAGGGAGGGAUGGUCAGAGGCGGGGGAGGCUAGGAUUCAUCCGAGCCGCCCUGAAACAACUAAGAUCGAUCAGGUUGCACAAAACACGUGGUGGAGAUUCUCUCACUUGCUAAAGCGUAGGCACAGAGGGACACUGAAUGUAAGUUUGCUCAUCUUCUUGAUCAUUGGAACGAGAAAGAAAUGCCCAGAUGUGAUGAAAGAGUACCACUGAAACAAUACCCGGACAGUGAUAUGAUCAGGACCCUUGAACAAUGGUCUAAACAUUAGGGCAUUUUCAACACCAACCCGUAAAUCUCCUGCAUGCGUUCGGACCACGUUGUCCGAACCGUGAAAGCCAUCUAAUGUGGUUUUAUAUCGAUCUGAAAUACAGUUCGGACGUACAUUCUCCCGUAAACCGAAGACAAAUGUCAGGAGCUUUGCGGGAGUCCCGACACGUGACCACGCCUGUUUCUGACCAAUCUGACCAACUCAAACCCCUCCUUGCUCAUCCGCGCAUGUUCCCGACCAACGCCAUCUGCCUGCAUUCAUGUGUCGUAGAGCAUGCCGCUCCACAUUGAAAAUGGCUUAGGACGGACGCAACGUCUCACUGACUCCGUCAUUGAAGCGGCACGUCGGACGAGGGUGCCAGCUGCAACGUGUUUUCGGUGUUGGCGCCUUUUCAAUGCCGGAGACUCGUGACUGAAUGAGAGGGGACGGAUAUCAACCACGUUCAUUGAAUGCUCCGUUUGUCCGUAUGACAUCACUAAAUAGACUCGUCGGCCGAGAAACCCACUCCGAUGCCACGCAUCGACGUACCCGAACUUCUUGCCUCACCGAAAUCCGCUAUUUAAAGGCGGCCACAUCCGGCUAACUCUGCACCACAACACAAGCCACUCCCCAUCCUCCUUCUUUGCAAUGCAUCCCCCAUGACUGUAGGCGGCAAAACUUUGUGAUCAAGCCUUUCCACGGAGAUGAAGCACGUCGUGGCUGCUUUAUCGCCGCAUGAUAGAGCCGCUGUACCACGCGGAUCGAGGCCGGCUUGCCGGUCAGCUCGCCCUAGGUCUUCGACAACGAGGACAAUAUCAUGAUGGAGACGGGCUCCGACUUUCCCACGUCUUCUAUGCACCCCGGCUUCAUUGGAGCAGGCACAGAUGCAUUACAACGUCAUCAUGAUGGAGGGACAGCAUGGACCGAUGCCUAUGUUGAAGUUAGAGCGGGCGUUGAUGCGGCAUCAACUGGCGUUGGGUCGGAUCAACGGUGGACGCACGAGCGACGAGGCCCUGACAACCAUGACCAUGAUGAAUCCAAACUUCGUCAUGAAGCAGUGUGCCAUCUAGGAUGUCGUUGUCCUGGCUAAUUAAGUCAUGUACAUCUUUGUACGUACUAUGUGAAUUCACGCCAGUGUCACCGUCACCAUCAGUCACCCUGUUUUUUGUUUUGAAAGUUAGCAGGAGUACUGCUAAGAUUCCAUUACAGAAGAAGAAGCCGAAAAAGGCUGGAACUGCUCGAUUUAUUAGAGGAAAAUCGAACAAAACCUGUACAAAGGACAGACAGGCCACACCUAGAUAAAUUAGGUCAAAAGCGCUACACGACAUACAAAAACGCCAAGGCACAAACAAAUGAACAGCCUGAUCAACACCGAAGAGAGAAGGCAUAUCCGAUAAAGGAGCGGAUAAGUGUCGCUCCGGUGGUGAAAGGACAUCCAACAUGGCUUGACUGACGCUGUCUGCAUGACAAUAGUGCUCUAAUGCCCGACCACCACUGGAUUACAGCCAACCCUCGACGGACACGCCACCACAAACCAUAUCGUCGCCCCGCCACCUUCAACUCGGAGCUGGGCACCUUGCCGCAAACCAUAUGCUCCAUCAAGAGGUCAAAUCUUUAAAACGAUGCUGUGAACACCAGUACGGGUCACCAGUCAGCACACACACAUAUACCAGUAGCGUACAUGGUCUGAAGAGUUGUUAAUUAACCAAGUAUGCAGACAAGCUUGAAGUCCGGCCGGCACACGGCACAUGUACAGACUAUUUUUUUUCUUUCCCGACGACUGACUGACUAUGAUUGUGACGAAGAAGACAUAUCGCCGGCUGAAAGAUGAUAAAUACGGUCAAUCUGAGAUGGUCGCUGCUGGCCGGCGGCUAUUCUAGCGCGUUGUUGACUUCCAGUAUUACUUGGACCAUGUUCCGUAUCCGGCCGCUCCUCAACUCUGCUUGGGAGCUGGUGGAGCUGUAGCUGGAAAAAACAAAACGGAGCUGCAGUUUUUCAUCUCCGCGGAUUCCGGGAGCUAGAGGAUUAUCAAACAGGGUCUGAUGUGCGGGAUUCAUGGACACGAUGUCGGUAAACACAUGCAACGAUAACUAAUUAAGUGGACUCAGGGUAGGUCAGCUGAUCAAUCGAUCAGCUACCGGCCGCUUUUUUCUUAGAAAGACUCGUCUCUCUUUAUUGAUGCUGAAGCAAGUUCAUAGGUAUAAGAGAAGGAUCGUGCGGGUUUUCCAAGCAUACAUGUCUCCUGACACCCAAGUCUCCUGACAUCCAAGUUACAAGCAUGUUUGAUGAGAUUAUGAGCCUCAAAAUUACAGUUUCUACGUUCGUGAAGAAAAGAAGUCUGCCUAUGCCUAACACCGUGCCAGUGUGUUGUGGCGUACUUGGAUGCCAUAUGGUUAUAUAUAUGGUUUUAAUCAGGGCCCUACCUCGGAAAUACGAGCCCUGUAAGAAAUCACAGUUUAGGCCUCAUGUAUAUAUAGAAAAUUAAAAUAAAAAUAAAAAUUCAUAAACCAUUGUAAUAGUACAGUUUCUCAAAGAAGUCUGCCUAUGCCUAAGACAUAUUUUGGUGUCAAAAGGGAAAUUGCCUAAACAACAUUUUACAAAAUUAGAAUAGUGGUGAGGGACACAAAUUCAAGAAAGAGUGAGAACUAGAUGGUUGGGUGGGUGACUGUACCCCCAACCCACUAAAAGCAUCUAUAUCCACAUAUAGCCAAACUUGCCCUUCUCCGCGGACAGUGACUAGUUCCACCUCAAUUUUUUGUUCCCACAUUGGAUAUCUGAAUUUGCAAACCCAUGCUUCAUAUUAGACAUGCAUCCUUCAGUGGGAUGCAAUAUUUCUGUCAAAAGUGAGAUGCCCAUGAUAAUCUCAUACUAAAAAUAUUAGGCCCGCAAGGGUUUCAUUUUUCUUGUUUUUCCGGAAUUUUUAUACCACUUCUCAUUGAGUGACACAUGUGAGCGAUGACUUUCCACCUUAAUUGCUCUUCUUAAGGGUUUUCCUCCUUAAAAUAUAGUAAUGAGUUUGCAUGGGCUGGUUGUAUGGGCUUUGUUUGUCUCAUGUGGAAAGAUAGCUUGAUCAGAUGGGCUAGUUAAUCUCAAGACCCAUCGACUCGAUCGGCCUAAUGUUGAAGAACCUCAUUGCCCGCGUGGUGCCAUUUGAUGGUUGUGUGGAUACGGUGAUUGUUGUAGUUUGCCGAUUCCAGAUAUGAUUGCUUUUUAUUUUAUGUUUUCUUCAAAUAGGGUGAUUGCAGGUACGAUUUUGUGGAUACCGUGAUUGUUUUAUAUUUCUUUACUCAAAAAGAUAGAAGUGUAUAUGGCUCAACCUCGGAUCCAUCCGAACACUCACCGUAUAUAGGGGACUAUUAACUUGGCCCCAAAACAUACGGUCCUUUGACUAUGUGAAAGUUUUAAGCCUAAAAGUCUGAUUGUCUUGUUUCUACUAAUAUAAUUGACUUCAGACAUCGUGACAUCGGUUAAGGGUGCAUUUUUAGUUCAGAAACACCCUAAGUAGUAUCUAAUAAAGGACAUAAGCGGAUGAUUGGUCAUUUUUCGUUCAAACAGUUGCGCCCGAGACAAAAAAUAAGCAUAAAGCAUAAUAAACGCAUUAAACAAGUGAUUUGUUUUUUUUCAAGACAACUCAUGCUCAAUAAAAUUUCUUAAGGAUCAUGUCCUGGAUACGUUUGGCCUCGGAAAUACGGGCACCCGAUGUCACAUCUAUAAAGUACUGCUCAGGCACGUGCUUCUUUCCUUCGGGAUGACCCUCUGCCAUCUCCGCCGCAUUCAACCUAGGCCAAUACGUCGUGAUAGACGCAUAUGCCUGCCCAGCACCCUCCACGCAUUGUUGAAAUUAGUAGUGGGCUUUAGGCCCAUUCGAGAAUUUCAGAAAAAACUCCAAGGGCCCAUGUAGGUGGUGGCAUGACAAGGUGGUGGGAAGUUUAGUCCCACUCCGCUAGUGGAGGAGAAGUUGGACCCCUUUAUAAGGGUCUCUAUUUCACAUGCUAUUGGAGAGUGAGAAGAGAAGGUGCCCUCGCGCACUCCUCCUCCGCCGCCCGCCUCGUCACGACGCGUUGCGGGUUGCGGAAAUGAGCCGAGCCAAGCUCAUACCUACCGCCCAGCCGCCUUUAUAAGCAUCUGCCUCACGCGUUCGUUCCUUUUGCUGCUGCUGCCGCCGGCAACUCCGUCCCGUUUACCGCGUACACGGUCGACGGGAGAGCAGGCCUCCGAAAGCCCGCCUCUCCGGUUCCUGUACGGGAGAGGGGCGAUUAGGUUUUUGGGGAGCAAUCACGCGACUGCUCGCCUCCGUCCGUCUGCUUCGUCUACGUCCGCGUCGCCCUCGUCAUCGCCAUGUCUUCACCAUCUGAGGCCGAUCGUCUCGCCCUUGAAGCUGAGAAGAAGAGGGCAUAGGAUGCUGCUGCUGCUACGGCCGCGUCCAACGCCAACGCUGGUGCUACGGCCAACUGGCCCAUUGGAGGGUAUGAUUCGUUUAUCCUCAUGUUCGUAUUUAUCCUAGCAGUACUACUUGCAUGCAUAGAUGUAUCAACUAUAUGCGUAGUAUGUGCUAGGUUAGUUCAAGAUCAGUACGUCAUUAGUCUAGUCAAUGCCAUGCUAGUUAUUAUCUCGUGGAUUAAUAUACUCGGAAAAUUGCCUAUUUACUCAACAAUCCAAAAACCUAAUAUGUGUAGGAAUUUUUCAAGUAAUGGUUUUGCUGCUGCACUGAAACCGGACAAGUUUACUGGUACUUAUUUCAAGCGUUGGAAAACGAGAAUCAGCUUAUGGCUCACGGCGAUGAACGUGUUCUGGGUAGCCGGUGUCACUCCAACGGGAACGAUCUCUCCUGAACAGGAGAAGAUGUUCGCGGAGGCCACCGUCCUAUUCCUUGGAGCAGUUAUAAGCGUGAUCGGAGAUAAGCUGGUUGAUGCAUACUUACAUAUGCAUGUUGCCAAAUACUUGUGGGAGGCGCUCGAAUCUAAAUUCGGGGCCACCGAUGCUGGGAGUGAGAUGUAUGUUAUGGAGCAGUUCCACGAUUACAAGAUGGUUGACAACCGUUCUGUAUUGGAACAGGCUCAUGACAUAAUAUGCAUAUCUAAAGAACUUGAGGUUCUUAAGUGCAAUUUGCCGGGCAAGUUUGUCGCGGGUUGUAUAAUUGCUAAGCUCCCUAAUUCCUGGAGAAACUUUGCUACCACUCUAAAACAUCAGAGGCGUGAGUUCUCAGUAGAGGACAUCAUCGGUCAUCUGAGUGUUGAGCAGAACUCGAGAGCAAAGGACUCCAAUGGAAAAGCGGUGGAAAGCUCUUCUGCUGCCAAUAUGGUACAUCAGAGGAACUUCAAUUCCCACAAGCCCAAGGGAAAGAAUUCUGGUCAACAGAAUACCGACUUCAAGAAGAAGGGAAAGAAGCCAUUCAAGAAGAAUAAGAAGGGAGAUGGCUGCUAUACUUGUGGUUCAGAGGAACAUUGGGCGAACAAAUGCCCAAACAAGUACAAGAAGCCGGCGCAGGACUCCAAGUCUGCCAAUAUGAUUGUGGGCAACAAUGAAAGUGGUGCAUCUGGGUACGGUAAUUUACUUACUGUAUUUUCAGUUUGUCAGUCCACCGAUUGGUGGGUGGACACGGGUGCAAAUAUUCAUGUGUGUGCUGACUUAUCAUUGUUCUCUUCUUAUCAGGCCACCGGUCGCGGGUCCAUAUUGAUGGGGAAUGGCGCGAGUGCUUCUGUUCUUGGUGUUGGCACGGUCGAUCUGAAAUUUACUUCGGGAAGGAUCGUGCAGCUGAAGAACGUGCAGCAUGUCCCCGCCAUCAAGAAGAACCUCGUUAGUGGUCCCUUCUGUGUAGAGAAGGGUUUAAGUUGGUAUUCGAGUCUAAUAAAGUAGUAGUUACGAAAUAUGGACUUUUUGUUGGAAAAGGUUAUGAGUGCGGAGGUCUGUUCCGCCUUUCCCUCGCAGAUUUUUGUAAUAAAGGCGUGAACAAUAUUCAUUCGAGUGUUAAUGAAUCUGAAGUUUGGCAUUCAUGUCUUUGUCACAUAAGUUUCGGUGUUAUGUCGCGGCUAGCAAAACUGAAUUUAAUCCCAACUUUCACUUUAGCCAAAGGUUCUAAGUGACAUUCGUGUGUGCAAGCAAAGCAACCUCGCAAGCCUCACAAGGCUGCAGAGGAGAGACAGUUGGCACCAUUAGAACUCAUACAUUCUGAUCUUUGUGAGAUGAAUGGUGUGUUGACUAAAUGUGGAAAGAAAUACUUCAUGACAUUGAUAGAUGAUUCCACUAGAUAUUGCUAUGUGUAUCUGUUAAAUACUAAAGAUGAGGCUCUACACUACUUUAAAAUCUAUAAGGCAGAAGUUGAGAAUCAACUUGAAAAGAAAAUUAAACGAGUCCGGUCUGAUCGUGGUGGAGAGUACUUCUCAAACGAAUUUGAUUCAUUUUGUGCGGAACACGGCAUUAUUCAUGAGAGGACGCCUCCCUAUUAACCCCAGUCAAACGGGGUUGCCGAGCGGAGAAACCGUACUCUAACUGAUUUGGUUAACGCCAUGUUAGAUACAUCGGAUUUAUCCAAGGCAUGGUGGGGGGAGCCUAUAUUGACCGCGUGUCAUGUCCUGAAUAAAGUUCCUACAAAAGAUAAUGAGGUCACUCCCUAUGAGGAGUGGUCGAAGAGAAGGACGACGCUNNNNNNNNNNNNNNNNCGACGCUCUCAUACUUACGUACUUGGGGCUGCUUAGCGAAAGUCAAUGUAUCGAUCCCCAAGAAGCGUAAGCUUGGACCAAAGACUGUGGACUGCGUUAAUUUGGGAUACGCUAAGAAUAGCGUAGGCUAUAGAUUUCUAGUAGUAAAAUCUGAGGUACCUGAUGUAAAGGUCGGUACAAUAAUGGAGUCGAGGGAUGCUACAUUCUUUGAGGAUAUAUUUCCCAUGAGAGAUAUGCAAAGCACUUCUAGACAGGAAUCUGAGAUAACUCCCGAGCCUGCCAUUCCUAUGGAAUACUAUGAACAAACACAUGAUGAAAAUCUUGAGGAGGAUGACGAGGAAGCCCGUGGUAGGGGCAAGAGACAAAGGACUGCAAAGACCUUUGGUGAUGAUUUCUUCGUAUACCUCGUGGAUGAUAAUCCCACUUCUAUUUCAGAAGCGUAUGCUUCUCCAGAUGCUGAUUACUGGAAAGCUGCGAUCCGUAGCGAGAUGGAUUCCAUCAUGGCUAACGGGACAUGGGAAAUCACUUAUCGUCCCUAUGGUUGCAAACCAUUGGGAUGCAAGUGGGUGUUCAAAAAGAAGCUUAGGCCCGAUGGUACAAUUGAAAAGUACAAGGCUAGGCUUGUGGACAAGGGCUAUGCCCAGAAAGAAGAAGAAGAUUUCUUUGAUACUUAUUCACUUGUGGCUAGACUGACCACCAUUCGAGUACUACUCUCAUUGGCGGCCUCUCAUGGUCUUCUCGUUCAUCAAAUGGACGUUAAGACGGCUUUCUUGAAUAGAGAGCUAAAUGAGGAAAUCUAUAUGCAACAACCAGAUGGCUUUGUGACAGAAGGUCAGGAAGGAAAGGUGUGUAAGUUGCUGAAAUAUUUAUAUGGUCUGAGACAAGCACCUAAGCAAUGGCAUGAGAAGUUUCAUACAACUCUGACAUCUGUUGGCUUCGUUGUUAAUGAAGCUGACAAAUGUGUAUACUAUCGCCAUGGUGCGGGCGAAGGAGUUAUAUUGUGCAUGUAUGUUGAUGACAUACUGAUAUUUGGAACCAACCUCAAAGUAAUUGAGGAGGUUAAGUCUUUUCUGUCUUAAAACUUUGAGUUGAAGGACCUUGGGGUGGCUGAUGUUAUCUUGAACAUCAAGCUUUUGAGAGAUGAUGAGGGUGGGAUUACACUUUUGCAACCCCACUAUGUUGAGAAGAUUUUGAGUCGCUUUGGAUAUUCACACUGCAAAAUUUCUCAAACACCAUAUGAUCCUAGUGUGCUUAUUCGAAAGUUUAAAGGCACAACUAUAGAUCAAUUGAGAUUCUCUCAGAUUAUCGGUUCGCUUAUGUACCUAGCUAGCGCAACGAGGCCUGACAUCGCGUUUGAUGUGAGCAAACUUAGCCGGUUUGUUGCAAACCUGGGCGAUGUUCAUUGGCGUGCUGUUGAAAGAAUUAUGCGCUACCUGAAAGGUACUGUCAACCACGGACUUCACUAUACGGGAUACCCAUCGGUACUUGAAGGGUAUAGUGAUGCGAAUUGGAUCUCUGAUGCUGAUGAGAUGAAGGCCACUAUUGGGUAUAUGUUUACUCUUGGGGGUGGUGUUUUUUCCUGGAAGUCUUGCAAGCAAACGAUCUUAACGAGAUCGACAAUGGAAGCAGAAUUAACAGCAUUAGACACAUUUGGUGUCGAAUCAGAAUUUCUUCGAGAUCUUUUGAUGGACUUACCUGUGGUUGAGAAGCCGGUUCCGGCUAUCCUUAUGAACUGCGAUAAUCAGACGGUUAUUGUCAAAGUGAAGAGUUCAAAGGACAAUAUGAAGUCCAACAAACAUAUAAGAAUGAUAUUGAAGUCUGUCAGACAUUUGAGGAACUCCGGAGUGAUAGCGUUGGAUUACAUCCAAACGGCUAAGAAUCUGGCAGAUCCCUUUACUAAAGGGCUAUCACGUGUUGUGAUAGAUAGUGCAUUGAGGGAUAUGGGUAUAGACCCACAUGAGUUGCCAUGGCAGUAACCCAACCUAUAUGAUCGGAGAUCCCGUGAAGUAGGACCUAGGAAAACAAGCCAGUGGUGAACUGAGGAGAGUAACUUUACUAACCCACUCCGUUGGAGAUGCAAUGCUCUCGGAUACUGUAUGGUAGGAUGACUACUGUCUUAAUGUGUUCUAAAGCUUAUGUGUAAGCAAGAUGUUGUCCUACAGAGUGAUCUUUGGAGGAACACGCCUAUAUGAGCUUGACUGCUGGUCACAGUCUAUGAGAUUUGGGUGAUCUCUAGUAAACUCAUGAAUAGGCCAGGAGUGUGACUAAUAUGCUCCACCCGAGGGGUCACCUUCGGCAGCCUAGUACUAGUAAGACUUGUGGUGAAGCUUCUUUAUGCCAAGCUGACAAUUCAAGGCAUAGUCCAUUGUUCGGUUGUAAAGGAGUGUAGCUACUUGCUCUAGGUGAAUCUCAACCUUAACAGGUCUUCACUGAAAUGCUGGUAUAUUAAAACAGUGAAUUGGAACGAGGGAACACAAUGUGCCCUUGAGAUCUGGUGGGGGAUUGUUGAAAUUAGUAGUGGGCUUUAGGCCCAUUAGAGAAUUUCAGAAAAAUCUCCAAGGGCCCAUGUAGGUGGUGGCAUGACAAGGUGGUGGGAAGUUUAGUCCCACCCCGCUAGUGGAGGAGAAGUUGGACCCGUUUAUAAGGGUCUCUCUUCCACAUGCUAUUGGAGAGUGAGAAGAGAAAGUGCCCUCACGCACUCCUCCUCCGCCGCCCGCCUCGCCACGCCUCGUCACGACGCGUCACGGGUUGCGGGAAUGAGCCGAGCCGAGCUCAUACCUACGUUCUUAUUUUGUCGGUCAGGAACGGAGAAUACGUAACGGACACGGCACGAUCUGAGACGUCGGAUCGUGGGAUGUUACCGACUCGGGCGUGGGUUCGGCCCACGUUUCUCCGCCCAGCCACCUUUAUAAGCUGGCUAUCACCUACCCUAGCCGUCACGAGAAUCAGAUCACAUAUGCCUCACGCGUUCGUUCCUUUUGCUGCUGCUGCCGCCGGCGACUCCGUCUCGUUUACCGCGUACACGGUCGACGGGAGAGCAGGCCUCCGAAAGCCCGCCUCUCGGUUCCUGUACGGGAGAGGGGCGAUUAGGUUUUUGGGGAGCGAUCACGCGACUGCUCGCCUCCGUCCGUCUGCUUCGUCUACGUCCGCGUCGCCCUCGUCAUCGCCAUGUCUUCACCAUCCGAGGCCGAUCGUCGCGCCCUUGAAGCUGAGAAGAAGAGGGCAGAGGAUGCUGCUGCUACGGCCGCGUCCAACGCCAACGCUGGUGCUAUGGGCAACUGGCCCAUUGGAGGGUAUGAUUCGUUUAUCCUUAUGUUCGUAUUUAUCCUAGCAGUACUACUUGCAUGCAUAGAUGUAUCAACUAUAUGCGUAGUAUGUGCUAGGUUAGUUCAAGAUCAGUACCUCAUUAGUCUAGUCAAUGCCAUGCUAGUUAUUAUAUCGUGGAUUAAUAUACUUGGAAAUUCCCUAUUUACUCAACAAGCAUGUUGAGCGCUUCCAUAGGUUGAUCCGGGGAGUGGCACCUUGAAGGCAUUGGACCAAGCCAAAGAAACUGCUUGACAAUGGAUCGGUUGGCCAUUGAGCGAUGUAGAGGUCCUUCAUAGCCGGCUUCGCACUCUGUAUAGCUCCGGCAGUUGCUUCAGUUGGUCACCGACGAGACGGGGAUGUGGAGGCACUUGGAACUGUGCCCAAAACGCCUUCUGAUAAGAUGCACCUUCACGCGCGCCAUCGUAUUGGCAAGCAUCCGCCACACUCCCCGGCAGGUCCGCAAAAGUGCUUGUAAAUGUAAAAUUUGCAUUGUGUGGGCGGAGUCGUGAUUGUCGAAGAUGCAAUGUACUUCCUCCAUCCAGAAAUACUUGUCAUAGGAAUGGAUGUAUCUAGAUGUAUUUUAGUUCUAGAUACAUCCAAAUUUUAUCAAUUUGUGCAACAAGUAAUUCUGGACGGAGGGAAUACUAACUAAGGCUUACCGAGGGUUUAUUUCAGAUGCCUGCAAAGGAUUUUUCUCGGGCGGACCUCCCCUGCACUUGUGCCUCUUGGCGCGCCAAUUAAAUCCACUUAAGCUUGGCGGCGUCCUCCUCCUUGGCAGUCCGAAGAGCAUCACGCUCAGUCGCCAGGUCCUUGAGCUCUUCCUCAACCUCGAUUAUCCAAGCUUGCUCCUUCUUCCAAGCAUGCCCCUCCGCGGCAAGCUCCUCCAUCGCCUUUAAUGUCGUAGCCCUUUGCUUCUCGGCUUCGGAUCGAGCCUUUUUAAGCUCGACACACAAGGCAUCCAUCUCCUUAUCGGCCACAGGAACAAUUUAUAAACACACAUUAGUACUCAAAUUGUUUCAAACAAAACAACUUAUGGUGCAUGUUUCAAAUAUUUACCUUGCGCUUUCUCCAUCUACUUCUUUAGCACAUCAAUAUCCUUCUUUGAUCAUGCAAGCUUAUGGUUCAGAUCCUCCAAAUCUUUCAAGUUGGAGGCCGAGGAAGAAGCAAAGGCCUACAUAAUAGAGCAUAUGUAGCAUACAAGACUCUGAGUAUGAGAUCGAUCCUCUUGUAGGCUACAAGAGUCUCGAGGGCUGCUGCAUAUUCGCCUUACUCUCUAAAGAGCAGUAAAAAAUCGACCCCAAGUCAGUUUUCUGAAAACUAACUUAAGCCUUCGGGGUUGCUGUGUUCAUGCUUUCAGCUGAUGGAUCAUUAUUUUUAGCAACAUCUUGUCUUCGAACACACAUUUUUUUUCAAAAUGCCAUCCUUAAAGGGCUACUGUGCAUAGUUAGUAUCACCUACAAGGCCAAAGUUAUAAAAACUGAUAGAUGUAAAGUUUGUUUAUCUCAAAUCCUUUUGAGAGGCAAAGGAAGGCCACAAUUGUUCCGGCCUUUGCGGACCGGAAUUGUGUGUACGCCAUGCCGAGAAGGGCAUCGUGCUCGUGAAGGAUAGAUAAAUUUAUUAAGUCUGCCUCUAUCUCCUUUUGACAUUCCAAAGGAUCGGCUUACCCGAGGUCAAGCGAAGACGAUAAUGUACCGUGACGGGAGGGGGGGUGGCCACCUCUGUCAAGUGUUGCGGUCCUUGAGCUAUAGUGACCAAGAACUCUAGGCAGUUGAGCACCGGCUUAUCUAGAACUUGGGGAACCUUCUCCCCUUGGUCGUCGACGACCAAGGUAUGGAUCUCGUCCAUGGACACAUAAGCACCCCCCCCCCCCCCCCCCCUUUCCCCCCCCCCCCGCGCCCUUUGUGUCAAAUACGAGAGGAUUCAGGUGCGACGUGACCUUGUGGGUUGGGGCAUGAUUCACUAGUAGAAAACAAGGCUAUCGUUCGGCCCUGGCCAGCCCAUUAGUCUUGGUUCUUCAAGAACUGGGACCAAUGGGGGGUAUUAGACCCGGUUCGUGAGCCCAGGGGGCGGCCGGGGCCUCGUGGGCAUUGGUCCCGGUUCGUGUAGAACCAUUUGUCCCGGUUCGAGCCACGAACCGGGACCAAUGGUCCUCGCUGCUGGCCCACAACCAUUGGGGUUCGUGGCAUGAACCGGGACAAAUAACUUGCCUAUAUAUACCCACCGCCGCGGCAGAGCACUCCACAGUGCUUUGUUUUUUCAACCCGGCGAGGUUUCUAGUUCACCUCCUAUGCACAUGAGGUGUUCGAUGAAAUGCCCGAGCCAUACUAGUUAAGCUUUCUCGUCUCGAAGCUCGACCUAGGAGCUCCAUUUUUUUUCGAGAUUUGUCUAGAUUUAGGGGUCUGUCAUGCCCCGUCCUUGUUUUCACCACCGUUGAUCGCCCGCUCUGAUCUCGUCGCCGGCACCACCGUGGUGAGCCUCUUGUUCUUAUCUUCUUUAUGAUACUUGUCUGAUUUUCUUACUUUAGAUAGAUAUUUGUCUGAUUUUCUUAAUUUUGACACACAUAAUUAUAUGUAAUGCACGCAGAUGAACCGGCAAUGGAUGUAUGGUGACAGACACACCUCCGAGCACAUUAAGGGCGUGCUUAUUUUUCUCGAAGUGGCUGAGGCAAACAAGCAGAAUGGUUUUAUGUGUUGUCCAUGCAGUAAAUGUGGGAAUACGAAGUCUUACUCUGACCGGAAAAUCCUUCACACCCACCUGCUUUACAAGGGUUUCAUGCCACAGUAUAAUGUUUGGACGAGGCACGGAGAAAUAGGGGUUAUGAUGGAAGACGGCGAAGAAGAAGAGGACGAUGACAACUAUGUGCCCCCUGAAUAUGGUGAUGCUACAACGGGGGAAGCUGCUGAAGAUCAAGAGGAACCAGACGAUGUGCCCGAUGAUGCUGCAACGGGGGAAGCUGCUGAAGAUCAAGAGAAACCAGACGAUGUGCCCGAUGAUGAUCUCCGCCGGGUCAUUGUCGAAGCAAGGACGCAAUGCAAAAGUCAAAAGGAGAAGCUGAAGUUCGAUCGCAUGUUAGAGGAUCACAAAAAAAAGUUGUACCCCAAUUGUGAAGAUGGCAACACAAAGCUGGGUACCGUACUGGAAUUGCUGCAGUGGAAGGCAGAGAAUGCUGUGCCUGACAAAGGAUUUGAGAAGCUACUGAAAAUAUUGAAGAAGAAGCUUCCAAAGGAUAAUGAAUUGCUCGACAGUACGUACGCAACAAAGAAGGUCGUAUGCCCUCUAGGAUUGGAGGUGCAGAAGAUACAUGCAUGUCCUAAUGACAGCAUCCUCUACCGCGGUGCGUACGAGGAUUUGUAAGCAUGCCCGGUAUGCGGUGCAUUGCGGUAUAAGAUCAGACGAGAUGACCCUCGUGAUGUUGACAGUGAGCCCCGCAGGAAGAGAGUUCCUGCGAAGGUGAUGUGGUAUGCUCCUAUAAUACCACAGUUGAAACGACUGUUCAGAAACAAAGAGCAUGCAAGUUGAUGCGAUGGCAUAGUGAGGACCGUAAGAAAGACGGGAAGUUGAGAGCACCCGCUGACGGGUCGCAGUGGAGAAAAAUCAAGAGAGAGUGCUGGGUUGAGUUUGCACGUGACACAAGGAACAUAUGGUUUGGUUUAAGCGCGGAUGGCAUUAAUCCGAUCGGGGAGCAGAGCAGCAAUCACAACACCUGGCCCGUGACUCUAUGUAUGUAUAACCUUUCUCCUUGGAUGUGCAUGAAGCGGAAGUUCAUUAUGAUGCCAGUUCUCAUCCAAGGCCCUAAGCAACCCGGCAACGACAUUGAUGUGUACCUAAGGCCAUUAGUUGAAGAACUUUUACAGCUGUGGAAUGGAAACGGUGUAUGUGCGUGGGAUGAGCACAAACAGGAGGAAUUUAACUUGCACGUGUUGCUAUUUGUAACCAUCAACGAUUGGCCCACUCUCAGUAACCUUUCACGACAGACAAACAAGGGAUACCACGCAUGCAGACACUGUUUAGCUGACACCGAAAGUAUAUACCUGGGAAGCUGCAGGAAGAAUGUGUACCUGGGCCAUCGUCGAUUUCUUCCGACCAACCAUCAAUGUCGAAAGAAAGGCAAGCAUUUCAAAGGCGAGGCAGAUCACCGAAAGAAGCCCGCCAUGCGUACUGGUGAUCACGUACUUGCUAUGGUCAAUGAUUUACACGUAAUCUUUGGAAAGGGUCCCGGCGGACUAGCUGUUCCGAGUGACGCUGGGGGACACGCACCCAUGUGGAAGAAGAAAUAUAUAUUUUGGGACCUACCCUACUGGAAAGACCUAGAGGUCCGCUCUUCGAUAGACGUGAUGCACGUGACGAAUAACCUUUGCGUCAACCUGCUAGGCUUCUUGGGCGUGUAUAGGAAGACAAAAGAAACAGCUGAGGCACGGGAGGACCUGCAACGUUUGCACGAAAAAGACGGCAUGCCUCCAAAGCAGUAUGAAGGUCCUGCCAGCUACGCUCUUACCAAAGAAGAGGAGGAAAUCUUCUUUGAAUGCCUGCUUAGUAUGAAGGUCCUGACUGGCUUCUCGUCGAAUAUAAAGGGAAUAAUAAAUAUGGCAGAGAAAAAGUUUCAGAACCUAAAGUCUCAUGACUGCCACGUUAUUAUGACGCAACUGCUUCCGGUUGCAUUGAGGGCGCUUCUACCAGAAAACGUCCGAUUAGCCAUUGUGAAGCUAUGUGCAUUCCUCAAUAUAAUCUCUUAGAAGGUGAUCGAUCCAGAAAUCAUACCAAGGCUAAGGAGUGAUGUGGUGCAAUGUCUUGUAAGUUUCGAGCUGGUGUUCCCACCAUCCUUCUUCAAUAUCAUGACGCACGUCCUAGUUCAUCUAGUUGACGAGAUUGUCAUUCUGGGCCCCGUAUUUCUACACAAUAUGUACCCCUUUGAGAGGUUCAUGGGAGUCCUAAAGAAAUAUGUCCGUAACCGCGCUAGGCCAGAAGGAAGCAUCUCCAUGGGCCAUCAAACAGAGGAUGUCAUUGGGUUUUGUGUUGACUUCAUUCCUGACCUUAAGAAGAUAGGUCUCCCUAAAUCGUGGUAUGAGGGGAGACUGACUGGAAAAGGCACGCUGGGAGGGGAGACAAUAAUAUGCAGGGACAGAUAUUCUUGGUCUCAAGCACACUGCACAGUUCUACAGAACUCUACCUUGGUGACCCCUUAUGUCGAUGAACACAAGAACAGUCUGCGCUCCAAACACCCGGAGCAGUGCGACGGCUGGAUUACAUGUGAACACAUCAGGACUUUCAGCAGUUGAUUGGAAACACAUCUUAGAGAUGAAAACACUGUUUGUGAUGAGCUGUACUCGUUGUCCAGGGGACCAUCUUCGACUGUUACAAUUUGGAAAGGAUACGAGAUAAAUGGGAAUACAUUUUACACGAUCGCCCAAGAUCAAAAGAGCACCAACCAAAACAACGGUGUUCGCUUUGAUGCAGCCACCUAGAGGGGAAAGGACACAUAUUAUGGUUACAUAGUGGACAUAUGGGAACUUGACUACGGAGCAGAUUUUAAGGUCCCUUUGUUUAAGUGCAAAUGGGUCAAUCUGUCAGGAGACGGGGUACAGGUAGACCCACAAUAUGGAAUGACAACAGUGGAUCUGAACAAUCUUGGGUACACUGAUGAACCGUUCGUCCUAGCCAAUUUUGUGGCACAGGUUAUCUAUGUGAAUGACAUGUCUACCAAACCGAGAAAAAGAAAAAAUAAGGAAGCGAAUACAUCAUACGAUGAGCCAAAGCGCCACAUAGUUCUUUCAGGAAAAAGGGACAUCGUGGGAGUGGAGGGCAAGACAGACAUGUCCGAAGAUUAUGAAAAGUUUCAUGAAAUUCCUCCCUUCAAAGUCAAGGCUGACCCAAGCAUCCUGCUAAAUGAUGAAGAUUAUCCAUGGUUACGGCGCAAUAAGGAAAGGACACAAGCGAAGAAAAAGUAAAGACUUUCUCCACAACUAUUAUGAUGAUACCAUGCCAACUUUCAACCUUUUUGUAGUUCAUUUGAAAUGCAUGUUGUAACAGAGAAGUUUCCGUAUGAAAUCCUGAUACUUCGAAAGAGAUUGUCCGUUUUGUACACGAAGUGCAUCCAGUUUUUGUCGUAACCCUCUCAACUUUCUUGCAUAUGCUAUGUGGAUGAAAUGAUGAUACCAUGCCAAAAUAAAAGAGAGGCGCAAUGCUCACCUGCACAUUGCUUAGCUUCAGGCCAACGUGCAGGUGAGCAUUGUGCUUCUCCCUUCAUCGCCUUUACACUCAGGGCUUUGGAACCGCUGCGAGUGCCUCUCGCUUGGCGAGGUGGGACUAAAAAACAGCUGCAGAAAGAAUCAACUAAAAAACUCUUUUACCGGUUCAUGCCACGAACCGGUACUAAAAGGUGCUCGUGUGGCCCGAGCCUUAAAACCUGUACCAAAUAAAAUGCCUUUGUAACAACCUUAGAACUGGUACUAAAGGAAUCAACUAAAAAGCUUUUAUAAACCUCUAGUAUUAUUGAAACUAAAAUUAUAUAAAAUUUUGUUACAAACUUUAAUAGCAAAAAGAAUUAUCAUAAAAGAAAAUAAAUAAGUAAUUAGAAUUUUGUUCAAAACAUUGAAAUCAAAAAGAAUUAUCAUAAAAGAAAAUAAAUAAGUAAGUAGAAUUUUGUUACAAACUUUAAUAGCAAAAAGAAUUAUCGUAAAAUAAAAUAAAUAAGUAAUUAGAAACAAAAAAGAAAGCAAAAAAGAGAAAAACAAUUAAAAAAGUGCCACCUACAGGGCCACCACGGCGUGCCUAUGACUAGAAACCCAUUACUAGGGCCAGGAUGCAGGGCCGCAGUAGGCCCAAUAGGCCCACAAGCACAGAGAGUGAUUUUAGGCCCGUAAGCCUGCAGUAGAGAGGAGCUCGAAGUGGUUGGUUCGGCACGGCUUAUAAAACCACUCCGAGCCCCUCUCGGCUAGCGAGGUGGGACUAAAGAUAGCACUGCACCACGCAAGGCCUUUGGUCCCGGUUGGUGGCACCAACCGGGACUAAAGGGAGGCAUUGGUACCGGUUGGUGCCACCAACCGUUACCAAAGGCCUCUGCUUCCCGCCCUUUGGGCUACUGAAAGGAGACCUUUGAUCCCGGUUUGUGCCACCAACCGGUACCAAUGCCUCUGCUUCCUGCCCGUCAGGCUGCUGAAAAGAGACCUUUGGUCCCGGUUGGUGCCACCAACCAGGACUAAAGGUGGGGCUAUAUAAGCAACAGUUUAUAAAUUUUGAUCUCUCCCCCUCUCUCCAUUCGAUCCCGACGCCGACGCCGCCCCUGCCCCCGACGCUGCAGGCUGCCGGAGUCGCUGCCGCCCGCGAAGCCGUCCUCGUCGUCGCCGCCACCUACGUCGGCCGCCUGCGCCUCCUCCAUCCGCCCGCCGACGAGCAUCCCAGCCCUCCUCUGCUUCCCACGGUGAGAUCCGCCGCCACUCCGCUCUCUCCUCCUCUAGCUCCGGAUGAUCCCGUCGGUAGGCGCCCCUCCUCUCCCCACGUCGUGCUCAGAGCCCCCAUCCUCUCCCCUCUCCGGCAGGGCCGGUCCUGCGAAUCUGAUACUUGUGCAUCUUGAUCUAUUUUGGUAGUCCUGCAUAUCGGAUACUUGUGCAUUUCUGAUACUUGUGCAUUUCGGAUACUCUAGGAACAUCAUUUCCUUUGAUAUGCUCAUCCUAUGUUGUCCUGCAUGAGCAAUGGGAUUAGAUAUGCAAUAUUUGCUCACUGGAAUAAACAUUUCUGCCACUUUGGCAAAACUUAUGGUAGUUGAAUUAAUCUAAUGUUGUUACCAACCAAAAGAUGGCAUAUAUUAAUUCUUGUUCAUUAGAUUUUUAGUUGUAGUGCAAUAUGAGACAGAUAAUUAAAUUUUGUGGACAGUAUGGCAACGUGUUUUUCUGUGAAAUUAAAGGGGGUGACCAAUUAAGGAAGCUGAACGACAAUAUUUUUGACCAUACAAAAGUAAAAAAUGAACCUGACUACAAUAUUUAAUUAUCUGUGCUAGCAGCCGACUAUUUAAGUGAUUACAACAAUACUAUAUAAUUUCUGAUUUAUAAGGCAUGUCCAUUUGAUUUGAUCAUCAAUUUAAUCAAAAAUAAAAAGGAAUAGCCAAUAAGUUACCAUCUGGUUAGCAUGAACUUGUCUUAUAAGUUAACAUCUGGUUAGCACGAACUUGUGUUUUAUUUCCUUUAUUUAGUCAUAUGCAUGUGAACUUAUUUCUUUAUCCUUUUAGAAUAUAACAACUAGUAUUACCACCAUAGUGAAUAUAGCUUUGGUUUUAUUUAUUUAUAGUAAGUGCUUAGUAGUUGAACUAGUUGAUUUAAUAAAACUACUUUAUUUUACUAUAUAUAGAAGUAGUUUAUUUUUAGCAAGAAAAUUAAUAGAACUAGUUUAUUUUUUAGUUGAUUUCAUGAUGCCUAUCCCGCAUCCUCGUCGUCGACUCGGCGGAGGACACCUGCUUGAUUAGAUGGGCCAUGUCCGGGACUGGGCUCCGCCGGACUAGUAUUGGGAGGUGCUACCUUCCGGGGGACGUAGGUUGGUGAGGAGGCAACCCGUUGUUGACCCGAUCCUUGUUUGGUGGCGGUCGCGUGGGCCAGUGUCGGUGCCGAGGCUUCCGGAUACCGUGGAGGUGGUACGUCACCGUGUCAGCGAGGAGGACGAGCACGUCCGUCGCUACAUGGUUGCAUUGGAGGGCAGGUUCGACAAUACCUGGCAGGUUCUUCAGGGAUCUCACUUGAGCUAUGAUCCUGUGAUGGUUCCUUAUCUUUGGGUGUCCACGGCCCGCGACGAUACCCGUCGGGCGCUACGAUUCUAGCUGUAUUAGUGAUGCUAUAUGUAUGACAAAAGAUGAUGUAGUUUUGUUUAUAAUUGAAUGCAUGCUAAUUUGAAUACUACUUUAUUUUACGAUUUGGUUUUGCUUAUUGAAUGCUCAAAUUGGAAAAGUACUCCUACUUUGAAUGCUAAAAUUGGAGAGCACUAUGCAGAAAUCUAGGAGCCCCCUCCAUCAUCCACGUCGUCGUCCCCGUCACCGACCCCCCUCCGACCUCGAGUCAGGGUCUAUAUUGUUUUAUGCUAUUUUACCUUAAAGAGGGUAUUUAAUUAGGUCCUACCUAAUACUGAUGAUCAUGUUGCUGUAAAUGUUGUAUGACAAUGUUGUAAAGGGUAGUAAUUGGUCUCUUCAGCUGCUUUUCAGAGAUGGAGUUCUUCACGAUUAUACUUGAGAAAUCCUCCAGCAAGCAGGUGCUGCCGGACAAUUUUGUGAAGAUGCUGGACGGCCAUCGGCCACAGAACAUGAAGCUAAGGCAGGCCGACAACGGGCUUCACAAGCUGUGGGACGUGGAGGUGGUGUUCGACACCGAUGGAAGCAUGUACCUAGAUCGUGGCUGGAAGCAGUUCGUCCGUGCCUACGACCUGCGGCACGGGUACUUCCUUGUCUUCAGGUACGACGACAACGCCACAUUCGCCAUGAAGGUAUUCGACACGACUAUGUGUCGGAGGCGCUACCAGGACGAAGACGAUGCCAGUAUGCUUUGUCUCUUCUUCCUCUCCAUUAGGCUAUGUCUCACACCCAUUUUAAAAAAAACUUUUUUGCAUUUGGCAAGGCAAUGGGAGCAGGAGCAGCGAGUACUGACAAUGUUGUAAAGGGUAGUAAUUGGUCUCUUCUGCUGCUUUUCACAUAUGAAGUUCUUCACGAUUAUACUUGAGAAAUCCUCCAGCAGGCAGGUGCUGUCGGACGAUUUUGUGGAGAUGUUGGACGGUCAUCGGCCAUAGAACAUGAAGCUGAGGCAGUCCGGCAACGGGCUUCGCAAGCUGUGGGACGUGGAGGUGGCGUUCGACACCGAUGGAAGCAUGUACCUAGAUCGUGGCUGGAAGCAGUUCGUCCGUGCCUACGACCUGCGGCACGGGUACUUCCUUGUCUUCAGGUACGACGACAACGCCACGUUCGCCGUGAAGGUGUUCGAGACGACUAUGUGUCGGAGGCGCUACCAGGACGACGACGAUGCCAGUACGCUCUGUCUCUUCUUCCUAUCCAUUAGGCUAUGUCUCACACCCAUUUUAAAAAAAAAUGCAUUUGGCAAGGCAAUGGGAGCAGGAGCAGCGAGUACUGCGACAGGUGCUAUGUCCACGGCAUCAGCGACUUUGGCUAUAGCAAAAGUAGCAGCGACUCUGGCUACAACAAAAGUAGCAGCGACGAUGGCCUCGCGAUGGUGAUCCCACAGCUGGGCGACAGGGCCAUGCCAAUUCUGGUAGAGGAGUACAUCCCACAGCCUGGCCUGGGGCUUCGCCACUCUAAGCGCAUUAGGAUGAUGAAGGAGAAGGUGAAGAAGCAGGAGUGAAGAUCUUAAGAAUCUGAUGGAGCUUUAAUCUUUAUAGUGUAAACCUUUUAAGUACGAUAGUGUUGAACUGCUACUGCACUUUUAAGUAUGAUGGUGGUAUGCCUGAUGAAAUUUUGUGCAUGCUCAUGGAUGCUCAUUGAUGAAAGAUAAAAUUAUUUAUUUUUGUGCUUGCUCAUGGAUGCUCCUUGGUUGGUGUAUAUAACAACCUAAAUUAACCCCUAAACCAGCCCCUUUCAAAAAAACUCAGCUUCAGCCAGGUGCUGAUGCGUGGAUGCCUUUUGGUCCCGGUUGGUGUCACCAACCGGGACUAAAGGCCCCCCUGCCUGGCCUGGCCGCAGCGACCACGUGGAGGCCCAUCUGUCCCGGUUGGUGUAAGAACCGGGACUAAAGGCCGAGGGCAUUAGUAACGACCUUUUAGUCCCGGUUCCAAAACCGGGACAGAAGGCCCUUACGACCGGGACAAAAGGCCCUUUUUCUACUAGUGAUUUGUGCUCGCACCCGAGGAGUUCUUGGCCAGGUUGGCCAGAAGAAUACGAUCGCUCAAAUCCUCCUCAAUGGGGAAGUGUAAAAGUGUGUUGGAAAAGCAAAAGAUAAACAAGUUAAAACAUAUUGAUCAAGACUACUUCAUAGUAUAAAGACGAUAGGGGGUGCAAAUUAAAUAUGUUCGUGGGGGGCUUCUCCCUACGUGGUUGAGGUCAGUGUCCUCAGAGGACUUGGAAUCGGCUGCCUCUAUUAGAACUGAGGACCGACUUGCGGCAUGGGCCUUCUGUAGCCAUUUGAAUUGCUAAGGAGGGUCAACCUUUGAGAUGUCCUCGCAUAUCGCUCUUUUCCCCCUCCUAGAGGAAUGUACCUCAUCCUCCUCCUUCUCCUCGUUGGAGUAAGUUUUAGAGGGGAAACUGCGGAUGCUCUCGGUUUUGGCAUCUGAGGUGUCUCCUUGGAUAGACAUGCCUUUCGAUCUAGUCUUGUUCUCCCCCUUCUCCUUGACCGCAACGAUGUAAGGUUUCUUGGUCAAGAGCUCUUGGAGCUGAGGGGUUCAGGAUUCCUCCGGCAAUGGUGACGAGGAUCCCAUCUUUUGGACCUUAGUGGGCCAGGCCUGGUCAUAUGACAUAUAGUCGAUCACCUUUGUUAAAGAUAAAAGCAGUAAAGGACUUGUUGAAGUAGACAUUAUGCAUAGAAUAUACCUCUGUUGAGGGGUUAGCAUGAAUUAAGCCAAGGUCCACAUCUCGGCUUGGGAAGUCAUUCUUUGUGGGCUUGAAUAGAGUCGUCCACAUCCCAACAAGGUUAGCGCGGAAGAAGUGAUUUAUGGGCACCUCAUCCUCUAUUUUAUAGGGCCACAUUCGGUUAGCUCGGAGUUUAAGAGGGAGUAUCCAGUGGUGGAGCAUGAUGUGGGCCACAUCCACCAAUUUGACGCCUCGUGUAACCAUCUGCUUGAGCUUGCCUUGCAACAUCUUCACCUCAUCUUGAUCCCUUAGAGCAUGGUUAAUAGUAUAGCCAACUGCUGGCUAUAAGCAGUCUUAUAGCCCAUCUUAUAGCUAGCUUGUACAAUAGUUAGCUAUAAAAGAGUACUACUUUUAUCAUAUAUGACCCACCUUUCAUUCUCACAAAGCACCUAGGAGCACGUGCUAGAGCUGGCUCUUCACGAAGAGCCCGCUUCCCUUCUCUCUCCUCUUCUCUCUCAUCCAACUCAGCAAAAAUAUAGUAUUUUAAUCCUUACAGCCUGCAGAGUGUACCUUAUUGUACUUGCUCUUAGUGAGGACCUUUCAUGACCCAAGAGUCAAGACUUAUUGGCGGCUCUGUUGUGAAUGUUGGGGACCCCAACUAGCCCUUAGCUCGUAGGUCGGUCAAAUAAAACCAUUCCUACUAUCAAAUCUUAAUUGUCUCCACAGAGGCCCUCUUUGGCCGGAGAACCUUGGGAAGUUUAGUAAUGAUGGCCCCUCCGCAUUCGGCGAGUUGGGAGCGAGUACUCUUUGGCUAGACAUUCAAUAUUUUCAGUCACAAACUGAAGUGGGUGUCGUGGUUUUGUCACGGUAGAUGUCCUCGUGAAAGGACUUAAGGAUGGAGCCAUCGCACCUUGGUGGCGACUCAAAGGGGGUGAGCGAAAGCAAGACUCAGAUUUACCUAGGUUCGGCCCCUUGUGUGGAGGUAAAAGCCUACGUCCUGCUUUGUGUAGAUUGAUGAUGGUUUCGAUUACAAGGAGGGCGUAACUCGCCUGUCCCAGCUCUCGAUGAUUUCUAACUUGCCCUAUCUUCUCCAGGGACUCGCCUUUAUAUACAGGUCGAGGCCCUAGGAUUUACAAGAGUCCUGGCUAUGCUACAAAUCGUAGCUUUCCCUAUCUCUAAGUCGCCGUGUCUUCAAAGACUAGAAACCUCCCCGACGGUCUAUCUUCUAUAUAGCUCCCGAACCGCCAUCUGGCUCCUGGGCCAAGGCCUGUAUUACCAAUGGAUAAGUCGCCCCUUUAAUGACCCGGCCUAACUAGGGCGGGUUACACCGCAGGUAAUAUCCCCAACAGGUACCCCACUUAGACCUGGUCGAAAGAUCAAAUGUGGAAGGUCAUGACUUGUUGUGUUGUCUUGCACAACAUGAUCAUUGAGAGUGAGUAGGAGGAGCCAGUAUUUGACACUGAACCAUAUUACAGGCAAGGUCCUAUUGUCUAAGUUGAUCACCAGCUACGUCAACCUGGACUGCCUUCCUCAACAUGCGUCAGGAGAUCCGAGACCCAUACGUAUUAACAAUUGCAACACGGUUUGGUGGAGCACCUAUGCAGGCUGAAGAGCAACGCCUAGCUCCUUUUUGAUUUGUAUUGACUUGUUAAACUAUUUUUUGAUUUGCAUUGAUUUCUGUGAUGAAUUAUGAAAUAAAAAAUAACUAUUGUUGUUUAAUUUAUGCUGAAAAAUAUCGAUAUGAGUCAAAAAUGGAUCGAAUUUACGUCGAAACUGGACCGAAAGCAACGGCUUGGGGUGUCAUUGAGUGGGCGGCUGGGAAGCCGAGCCCCUAUGCCGUUUUUUGCACCGACGGGUCUCCAACCAGCGGAGCCGAACGGACGGAUGCUCUAAGAGCAUGGUUAAUAGUAUAGCCAACUGCUGGCUAUAAGCAGUCUUAUAGCCCAUCUUAUAGCUAUCUUGUACAAUUGUUAUUUAUAAAAAAAUAAUGCUUUUAUCAUAUAUGACUCACCUUCCAUUCUCACAAAGCACCUAGGAGCAUGUGCUAGAGCUGGCUCUUUACGAAGAGCCCGCUUCCCUUCUCUCUCAUCUUCUCUCUCAUCCAACUCAACAAAAAUAUAGUAUUUUAAUCCUUACAGCAUGCUGACUGUACCUUAUUGUAUUUGGUCUAACAACCAGAAACGCACAAGAAGGCAUUUUGGCACCAUCCAGCCGGUGACGAAAAGGUCGCGGCGGGUUGGGUUCCGACUUCCGAGGUUACGCACCAACUGCUCCUUUUUCGUCUCGACACCCUGUGGCGAGGAGUCCUAGUAAUCUUUUGCUGCCGAUUGGCGCCGUGGAGUCUAGCUACCGGAAGUGGGUGGAGAAAGUCUCAAGCCCCCAGGCUGCGACGCAGACAUAAAGAGCCGACGAGGCAGCAGCAUUCCAGCCAACCAGCCCUGUCCCGCGGGUGUAGACUCGGGUAGAAGAAGAGGAGGAGGAUGGCACCGCCGCCACACGUGUGCGUGACCGGCGGCGGCGGGUUCAUCGCCUCGUGGCUCGUCAAGCUGCUCCUCUCCCGGGGCUACGCCGUCCACGCCACCGUCCGCGACCCAUGUACGUCUUCCCCUGGUAUUAUAUACACCCGGCCGGUGCUCCUCCAGCCAAGUUGGUAAUGGCGGGGUGCUGUUUCAGGUGAUCCGAAGAACGCCCAUCUGAUGCAGCUGGACGGGGCGGCCGAGAACCUGCGGCUGUUCAAGGCCGACGUGCUCGACCGCGCCGCGCUGGCCGCCGCCGUCGAGGGGUGCGAGGGCGUCUUCCAUCUCGCGUCCCCUGUGCCCGUCGAUAAGCUCGUCGAUCCAGAGGCAAGUACACAUCUGCCAAUUCACCGUGUGCGUCGUCGUACGAUUGUUGGUUCGCAAAAAUUUGCAUAAUUCCCACUAUUUCUUCGAUGGAGGAGAAGCCAACAUUAUCCUCCUGAACUUGUCCUAUGCAGGUUUCGUUUUAUAAACUUUAUUUAUUUAUUUGGUUUAGUUUAGACUCUAAAAUUUUAAGACAAUGACGGUUUUGUCCUACUCCCUCUGUGCGUGUACUAAAUCAGCGACACUAUUUUGGAAUUUAUUAAGCUGUGCUACAUCACGCAUCUAUAUCUAUACACUCUCUUUCAUGGCAUUUAUUUAUCUUUCUUUUGGCAGUUAAACCAUAUGUCAAUUUUAGAUGUAAGAUAGCCAUCUUGUUCACUGAGUUAUGCCCGAUUUACUAAAACAUGUUGUAUAAAUUUUAAACACGAACUUUGAACUAUUUUUUAACCUUAAAUAGCUUUAGCUAUAAUUGAACAAUAUUGGUUGCUUAAUUAUUCCCGAUUUAAUAAAAUUUCAAAUUAUUCUGUGUAGCUUGAAUUUUGAACUUAAAACUAAAACAUGAAGUUUCUCUCAAACCAUAUGUUAACUUUAUCUAAAGUUUUUUAUCAUAUUUAUAAUUGAAUUAUAAAUAAUCUUUAUACAAAAAAGAUCGAUUCACACGCAGUUUUAUUACUAUUUGAUUGGAGGCAAUUUUAUAGUUGAUGGAAGCAUGAGACUAAUGCUUUUUAAACAAGUGAUUUUUUUCAACAAUGCAUCAUCAUUCAAUUUGUGCUUCCACGUGAUUCAUUUGCAAAGCAAAAAAAACUUUAUACUAAAAGAUUGUUUUCUUGCCAAUUUUAUUACUAUUUUUGGAAGCAAUUUUAUAGUUGAUGGAAGCACCACAUUGAUAGUUGAUGGAAGCACCAAUUUUAUAGCAAUUCUAUAUACACUAUUUGGUUUUAAUCAAUUUUAUAGUUGAUGGAAGCACACAAACUUGUUAUAGAUAUUCAUAUUGUACGAUUAGUAAUAAUAACAAUAUUUUAUAUCCACCACAUACGUUAUACUAAAUACCAUACCACUUGGAAGAAAGGAUGAUUAUAUAUUACUCCAAAAUGCCAUUGGUUCCAUUAAAGAAAUCUAGUAGUGCAGAACAAACUAUCUUGCACGUAAAGUGUUUACCAUACAACCUAAUAUCAAGAGUAGUGCAUCAUUUGUUUUUUAUUAAAUUAAUGUUCACCAAACUCCCAAAAGUUAAAUAUUAAAUAUAUAUGCAUGAUGCUCACCUAAUACAUUGACCGAAAUAAGAUGGAGAUCGAUAAAAGGAAAAUUAAUAUACAAACGAAUAUCGGUUGUGGUGUCUUUUAAUAUAAUGAUAAAAUUUAACUAACAAAAGAAGGUUUUACAUGUGCUUUUACCGUAUUUUUUGUUUUUUAUCAUAAGUGAAAUGCUUGCGAGUGAAACUCACAUUCUCUCUUCUCUGUCCAAGUUAAGAAAGCAAUCACUCCUUCCGCUUCAAUGUAAUUAAAGUUCUAGAUUUGUCUGAAGUAAAAAAUUCAUUAAGUUUGACCAAGUCAAUAUGAAAGUAUAUUAACAUCUGCAUCCAAAUUUGAUUCAUUUGAUUCAUUAUUAUCAUGUUAUAUAUAUUUGAUAUAGUAGAUCUUUCUGUUUUUUCUAUUGACUUGGUCAAACUUUUAGAAAAUGACUUAGCACAAUCUUAGAUCUUCAAUUAUUUGAGAGUGGAGUAGGAACAUUUUAUGGCAUUAAUCAUGGUUGUAUAUUUGUACAUUUUGGUGCGGAAAUAUAAACUCGAACAAUCACCCUUCUCUAGAUCUCUGUAAAAAGUGGAAGCACAUGGUCAUAUGCCCCAAAACAAAUAUGGUCAUAUUUUGGAUACAAAAUAUCAUAAUAUUCAGAACUCGAUUGUACCCAAAAAAUAAAAUCAAUGGAAGUCUAUAGUAGUAUUCCCAUGCAAUGUUUGGAUAUUUUUCAUACUUUCCCAAAAGAAAACCAUGUGUUUAUUGAAAUAUAUUCACAAGUGCUUACGUCGAUGUUGCCCCAUCAUCUUACAUUCUAGGCAAAACAUUUGCAAAAAAUAAUAAUCAGUUAAGGACAAUGACACGCCUGAAGUUUAAACCACGGCAAGAAAAAUGCGAUAGUCAAUCGAGUGUCGUGCAUCUUGCUGUACAAAUAGGGAAAUAAAAAGGUGCCAUACAUUUUAUUCUGGUCUGAGAAACAAAUCAAACACCGUAUCUUCAUCAUUGCUUUAUUUAAUCCGACACCACGACUUUGUACAUAUACAUGUUGCUUGUCAUGAGCAAUCUGUAUCUUUUUUAUUUUCAUUUAGAACAAACCCAUGCGUUGCAACGGAAGAAAAAAAUGCUACACGUUCUUAAUUUAUAAAAAAUGAUCUAUAAUAUGAGAAUUUUUAGUUACGACACAAACAAAAGUGAAAUAGAUUCAAAAUCCAGCAACCACUCUGUAUGCAUAUCUGGCCGAUGUUAUGUACGCCCGACGCCGCUAUGCUCGCAUGCAUACUGUCGUACGUGAGUGAAAGAAAUCAAGAUGAACUAAUCCAGAGGGCAUUGGGGCAAAAAAAAUUGUUCACGGUCUAGUUAGUGGUAUACAAUCUGACAACCUAUCAUAGAUAGCUGGCCUCUUCCACAAAUAGUCCAUUUCAUCUUCUCCUCCCAAUUCCUAUCGCUUGAUUUGAAUCAGCUCAUAGAAGAAAAGAUAAACAAAAUGAGAAAACAAUUAAACAAAAAUCGCUUUGAUUUGAGUCAGCCUGAUAGAAGAAAAGAAGAAAAGGUAAACAAAAAGGGGAAAAAUAAACGAAAAUUGCUUGAUUUGAAUCAGACUGAUAGAAGAAAAGAAGAAAAGGUAAACAAAAAAAGGAAAAACAUAUUCUAGGACAGUAUUCGAACCCGGGUGUCCCAGGAAGAAGGGGCGCGCUCGAGCCAAUAUGCUAGGACAACUUAGUUGCCAAAUUGCGGUUCAACAUCUUAUAAACCAAUACAUGGCGGAGCGAUUUGUGAUAAAAACGAACCGUUUUCUUUUGACUUAUGGAUGGCAUAAUGGGUAAUUUUAAGCAACUUUAGGGGUAACAUUUAUGACGUACGACAGAAGCAUUAUAUUUGCUUUAUUAUGUAUAGCAAAUAUGCCCGUGCGUUGCAACGGGGGAAAUAUAUACUUUAUACGCUAGCCAAAUAAGCGUAACAUUUAUUUAAGGAUUGACUCUAUACCCUCACAUAUGAGCAUCCUCUGUUUUUAACAUAGUGACUCAUCAUGUUGCCACUUAACUUUUUCUCCCACCCUCGGUGAUGAUGGUCGCGAUGUUCACGUGAUGACAAUGCAUUCAACGCGCUAAAUCCAAGGGCUAUGAGCUUGCUACUGCAUGUCACAUUUGUCAUUAUGUUGCGUAAGGGAAUAUUUAUUUUUUUUGAAAUAAAUCUCACCGACCAUGAACUACUUCCAAUGUCUAGACAUAUAAAGGCUUUCGAAAUCCUAAUCAAAUCCUAGACAUAAAAGGCUUUGAAUCGGUGAUCAUUUUUUGAAUUGACAUUUUUCUCGAAAAUCAAUAACAUUUGUUUUGUGUAUGAACAUUUUCUGAAAUGCAAGAAAAGUUUUUUAAUUCAUGAGCAUUUUUUACUCAACAACCAUGUUAUGGAUCGCCAAAGUUUUUUUAAAAUUGGACAACACCUUUUUAAAAUUUGUGUUUUUUUACUUUUUUGUAAACAUUUUAAAAAAUUUGAUGGACACUUUUUGCAGAUUCCCGAAUAUUUUUUGUGUACAUAUUCUGAAAUUUAUUUUCUGUACGAACAUUUUUUGCCUUUUUGUUUUGUGUACGAACAUUUUGUGAAAUGCAUGAAAUUGUUUUGAAUUCAUGAGCAUUUUUUGACUCAGCAAACAUGUUUUGAAUCAUUUAAAUUUUUUUAAAAUGGGGGAACAAAUUUUAAAUUUUGUGUUUUUUUUACUUUUUGUAAACAUUUUAUAAAAUUUGAUGGACAUUUUUUGCAGAUUCCCGAACAAGUUUUGAACAAAUGAUCAUUUUUUUCGAAAUGAAGAACAUGAUUUUCUNNNNNNNNNNNNNNNNNNNNNNNNNNNNNNNNNNNNNNNNNNNNNNNNNNUUCCCUACUAUUUAUUUUUCAAAUUGUGUUUUUGUUUUGUAAUUUGCAAACAGUUUUACAAAUACACCAAUAUAUUUUGAAUCCAUGAAACUUCUAUAAUUUUCUUAAAAAAUCAAAUUCUCAUGCAUUUUAUAAUUUCUCGAACGUUUCUUUAAAACUCAUCAUAUUUGAAAUUUGAAAACCUUGAUUUAAAAUAAAGAAGGAAGAGAACAGAAUAAGAAAACAUAAAAAAAGAAAAGAAAAAAGAAAAUGAGAAAAAGACAACGGAGUGCAGAUGGGCUGGCCCGGCUCAUGAAGGCACACACAUAGGAGAAGGCGUUGUGUGAGAAAACAAAAAGAAUGUGCAAGAUGUUGGGAUCGAACCCUGGUCGCCUGGUUUGGAGUGUUAGGCCUCAGCUACUACAGCGCUAGUCCUUUGGUGUUGCUAUUGUAACAUCCUCAUGAAAUAAAGGACUACGCUGCGACUUUUUGGAAAAAAAAAAUCAAAGAGUUUCCGUUACUUAUGGAUGGCGCAGUGUGUAAUUUAUGUCAACUUUAGGAAUAAUAUUAAUUACGGACGACAGAAGCACUAAUUGCUUUAUUAGUAGGUGAAGAUAAAGAUAAAGAUUUAGAACAAAAACUGAGCGCUUUGGUCCUUUAGAAAAAACGAGUACUUUGGAUCUGCUCGCUCUAGCGAUCCCAAUUGGGAUGCAGGUCGCGCACUAGCGACCGAUUGAGAGUUUGGCCGGCCCAUUUUAGUGUUUAUUCCCAUAGUUUCAGGAAGGUUCUAGAAACUUCUCUGAACCUCUUUUUUAUUUAUCUUCCAGUUUUUUCUUUAUUCUUAUUUUACAUUUUUGUAUUUUAAUUUUACGAUUAUUUUUAUUUUAUAUUUUUAUUUUCUUUUUUGCGAACAACUUUCAAGUUUGUAAAAACAAUUCGAAAUUCAUGAACAUCUUAUUAAAUCAUUAAAAAAAUGCAAAACCACAAAUAUUUUUUUGCAAAUUUCCAGAUAUGUUUAAAAUCAUGGACAUAUUCCUGAUUCAUGUACUUCUUACAAAUUUACGAACAUUGACUUUGUUUUGAAUCAGCAAACAUCUUUUGAAAAGUGUAAAUGUUAUUUGAAUUUAAUGAAAAUUUUGUUUCAAUUUUUUGAUCACUUCUCCAAAUUUAUGAGUUUUUAAAAUAAUAACUAUUUUCUGAAUUCAAGAACAUUAUUUGGAGUCCGUGAAAAUUUAAUCUAAAUCAUGAACAAUUUUGGAUUUCCUGGCCCAUAUUGCGCCUAAUAGGAGACCUCGCUCGCUCUCCCCUGUCUUGACUCCUCGAUAAAUAAAUAAAAAGCCCACCACCGGGCCUUGAAGUGAUAACUACCUACGCUGAACAUUUCUAUAAUUUGGGUCCACCAUGUGAUGUUAGGUAGAUUAAGAUCACAGUUUCAUAAAUUUAGAAGUUUCUACAGAUUGAGAGCAGGUAUGAUCUGACUAUUGUCAGAUUUUCUAGCAUAUCUCUCGAUUUUUCCUUUGUAUUGUGUGUUUAGUAUAUACUCCAUCCGUUUCAUAUUACGUGGCACUCAAACGAAUCUAUCUAGACCAUAUUAAUUGUUACUCAAAUAGAUAUAUCUAGAAAGUCUAGAUACAUUCAUCUUAUUUGGGUGACAAUUAAUAUGGGACAGAGGAAGUAAUUGAUAAUUGAUAGAGAUAGAUAGACUCUUAGAAAAAGUGACUUUGUGUUUUUUGAGACGAUUACAAAUGUAGUUGGAAUUGUAAAAUCUUUGAUGGUAUGAUUCUAAUCUUAUCCCAAUUUUAAUUGUGCAGUCAGAAGUAAUUGCACCUACUGUGAAGGGCACCUCAAAUAUUUUAGAAGUUUGUUCAACUAUGAAGGUCCGGAAAGUUGUUGUGGUUGCAUCCACUGCUUCUGUCCAUUUCAACCCGAACUGGCCUCAGGAUAAAUCCAAAGAUGAGAGUUGUUGGUCGGACAAAAAUGUGUGCAUGGAAAAUGAGGUUAGUAUGUUUGAAGUUAUAAGAAUCAAUAUAACGUCGGUUGCAACGUGCAUUGCGAUGUAAGAAGCCUAUUAUGCAAGAGUAGAAAAACACACAUGAACCUUCCAUGUCGCACGCACGGGAUAUACUUUUCAUCUGAACUCUGAAGACACAUAGUGAUAAUAAUGAGGAGUGUAUUCGAUCACCCAUAUUAGAAAUCUCAAGGUUUUCUUCCCUUGAUCUCCACUGACGAGGUGUCUACGUGUCGCUCUAGCACUUGUGGUGGGGAGUGCAAUUCUCGUGCCGCGGCUCCGAGUAACAGAUAGGUUAGGGUUCUAUUCCUCGCAGGAGUGAUUCUUGGAUGGAUGUCGACGAUUCUUCUUCAAGUCAGUUUUCCGGUCUAUGAUCCUCCUCAAUUUCGACAGUCGAAACAAAUUAGAUUGAGCUCUAGUGUAGAUUCCUGUCAGAUCCUUGUGGCGACGAGGUUAGGGUUUUUUGUUGCACGUACAUAACGACGAGAUUUGGUGUGAGGUUCUUCGUAUGGAUUCAAAGGUUCAACGACGAUGGUUGUGGCUCCAAGGCGCUGGUCCUGAGGGCAGGUUGAGGAGUGGCACUUGGACGGAUGUCGACGAUUCUUCUUCAAGUCGGUAUUCCGAGCUCCGAUACUCUUCGAUUACGCCCAUCCAAACAAAUUAGAUUGAGCUCUGGUGUAGAUUCCUGCCAGCCCCUUGGGGCGAUAAGGUUAAGGUUUCUCACCGCGCGUACAGAAUGAUGAGAUCUGCUGUCAAGUUUUUCGGAUGGAUUCAAAGGUUCAACGGCAACGAUUGCUGCUCUGAGUCACUGGUCUUUAAUUAGGGCACGUGCACGAAGACUUCCGGUUGUCGACAAGAUCAUACUUGCUCCGGUAUGGGAGCGGUGAGCAACAUGUCGGCGGCUCAUUCUGGCGGCAGCCGACAUCAAUGGUCAUUUGGUGGUUGUGUCAUUUGGUGGUUGUGUCGUGUAAUAUUCCUGUCGUAUUUCAAGUUCUCUUCGCUAGUCUGAGGGCUAAGUUCAACUCUUUACAAUUUUGGUUGGCAGCUUUGGUACUUCCUUGCAAAAACUGUUGCUGAAGAGACAACCUGGGAAUAUGCAGAAAAGAAUGGGCUAGACAUCGUUACAGUAUGCCCUUGUAUUGUUUUUGGUCCACAACUACAACCUGUUGUCAAUACCACCAGCGAACUUCUUCUCUAUGUUAUAAAAGGUCACCUCAUCAACUCCUAUUCUUAUUCAAUUUUCUUGUAGUAACAUCAAUUAUAUCUGACAAACAUGUCAUAUAGAUAGUGUUAUGGAGUGGCUCAGUCGUCCGUUAGAAUUUUGAAGGGAAAAAACAUGAAAAAUCUUACGGUGCGUCUUCGAAGAACUACUUAUCUCGUGUUGUCUCCUGAUUUUUUGUCAAUUUCAUCGCAGGAGGUCCUAAUGCGAUGAACGACGUGAUGUUGGAGAUAGUCGAUGUCCGUGAUGUAGCCGAUGCUUUGCUUCUGGUAUACGAGAAACCAGAAUCAUCUGGAAGAUAUAUCAGCGCAUCAAAUUACAUUACCACAAAAGCCAUGGUGGAAAUGCUAAGGAAGGCGCACCCCAACUACAAUUACGUGAAGUGGUGGGUCUCUUAACAUGCGAUUCUUUGUAUGCAGCAAAUGGCACGUACUGCUUUCUGAACAUAACUGCUUUGUUUCCAUGGUUUGAACUGCUUUCUUUGUUUUCAUUGUUUGAACUACUCUCUUUGUUUUCUGCAGCAAGACUGAUGUGGAACAUAGCUCUCCCAUCACACCGACCUCGUCGGAAAAAUUGAGAAAUAUGGGUUGGAAGCCAAGGAAAUUGGAGGAGACGCUCCUGGAUAGCGUCGAAUACUACCAGAAGACGGGGCUUCUGCAGGAUGCCGAGGGAGAGGGAUACCCAUGCCACCUUCCUGAAAUGUUCAGCUUUUUUCAUGCCGACGAGUAAUAAAAUCGAGUGUGGUAGUGGUGGGUGCCGGUGCUCGUACAUAUGCCAUUGUGCUUGUGAAAAUGUCGAAUGGUACGUAUCUCCGGUGACCAUCCCAGGAGACAGGAGUGGAAGUGGUUAGACGAUGGUGCCCUCAAUGUAAAAUAUUCGAUUUCGUAAAUGUUUAUAUGUUUUAAGUGAGCUUGGUCAAAUAUUAAACAAGUUUGACCUUGGAAAUAAUUAAGUUGGAAAGGAGGGGG
rnacentral:lncRNA from 1 species